rnacentral:lncRNA from 1 species
AUGCGAUUUUGCAACUUUCCGGGGGGAAAAAGACGCGUCCUGGGUGGAAGCGAGAAGACUGACACAACAGCAGACUGACUGUUUUUCAGUUCUGAUUAGACACUAGUGUUGAGAUGUCUGUCUGUCAUGAUAGCAUGUACUGAGUCAGGGCCAGUACCAGAUAAGCACAUUAAACUAUAAUCCAUAAACGUAAGGUAACAACUGAGACCUAAUGGUGCUGUGACAGCAAUGUGAUUGAGUUUGAGACAGUGAAAAUACAUAUGGUAUGUUGUAUCUGAACAGGUUAGCUUACGAGCUAAAGUUACUUAGCACAGAUGAAAGUUAAAACAGAGACGUUUAGCAAACUGAUAAAGCACACAAAACGUUGUCAUGUGAGAAAUCAAAUGCUAUGACCCUCCACAAGUUGUCCUUCAGGUUGUUAUCUUUGCAAAAUUUUGUGUCUUUUAUCAAAAAGCACUCUGUUCUGCCAUGUUGGAUAUACUGGUGAAGCUGACGUCGCAACAGCACGAAAAUCUGAUUGGUCAGAAGCUGAUGUGAACGCUUGUAUUGACAGGAUACGGGUUAUAAAAAAAUAUUGACGUCUGAAAUAAUCGCACGACAAAAAUGGUCCCAGUGUGAAAGGACCUUUUAGAAACACUAUAGAACCUUGUUCAAAGUUAGACAUUGGGCAGUGCAACAUAUACCAUUUAUUUAAUUUCACUAAAACAAAACGGAAGUGCUAAUAAAUAAUACAUUACGAGAGCUUUCACUGUUACUCUUUACUGUUGAGGCACUGUGCUGCCAUCUUGGAUUAUGAAGUUGUCAUCAAGUUGGGGUUGGUGAGGAUCAUCUGACUUUACAAGUCAGAAAUUCAACUUCAGGGGGGCGUUCCAGGUGAAUUUCUGAAUGGGAACUCGGAAAAUCCAAGCACAAAUGGAACACAGCAUAAAUCCUUUGACAUGCUUCAUAUUUUCACCCCUCCUUCUUUUCUUUGCAUCUUUUCCAGAUGGAAAACCCUUGAAAUGUGACCUUGAACAACUACUUGUAUAUUUUGAUAAACAAAAAACCCUCAUUUAAUGUAUGUUAUGACUCUUUUUAAAAAGCUAAAGUGGAGCUUUUAUUUUAGAUAUGUACUUUCCAUUGCCAAUAAUCAAACUUGUGGAGGCUCCAUUUCUGUCUGUGAUUGAUUAUGCUGAUAUACUGGACAUGCAUGCAUCAAUAUCCACCCUACAAACCGUUGACUCAGUGUACCACAUCGACUGCGUAUAGAAUGGACGCCGUCUGCCUCCUCGCUGGGUGAAGCCAUCCCGAGAACAGCACCCUCAGGUCAUGGGCUGCAGUAUAGGUCAUUAAUCAUAGGUCAUAUCCCGCCUCCUCCAGCAAUCCCUAUGGAGCUGUGGACAAACUUUAGAAACUAAUUACACAGAAUAUGAAUUUUUCUCCCCCCCGGUUGCAAUAUUGACAUGUAGUUGCUGUAAGACCGUUGCUCAAGUCUUUUUUUAUCUGUGCAGCUCCAUUCUGAUAGUAAUUGGGGGGUUCAUGUUUUCUAUGAUUGACACUUGAUACAGCCUAUGGACAUACGAAGAUUGCGGCUCACCCAGGGGAUACGCAGUUUGAGCCGAGCGUCAUCACAGCGAUUCUUGGCUACUCUCUCACCGAAUGCGUACCAUGCUACCAUGCAAGUGGGGGUUCCAGGAAGUAAUUUGAAUUCGUAUAAUGACAGAAGGCGGAGCCAAGUUGUCCAUACUAUAUUCAGUCUAUAGUGUACCACACAUCUUGUUUCUUUGUUACCGAUGAAAAUGUACGUUUGCAUUCUUUGAUUUUUGGGGGUUGGACAUCUUCAGCAAUUUGCAGAUGACCCCAGUGUAUUUUUACUUGUAAAGCAAUACCAUCUGACCUCUACACCAGGUUUACUGGAGGCCACUUAUAAGUUCUGACAGACCCAAGGAAAACCGUAAUGAUAUCUAAGAAAAGCUGCUGAAUGUCACUAAAAAAAGUGGUGGUUAAAAACUGCUUGUACUCUUGAAAAAGCUGUGUUUUCUCAGUGCAAAGAGUUUUCUCUGAGUAAUAAAUCUCUCAAACCGUGAAGCACCAGAACCAGAUUCAGCUCCCCUCUAAAGGACAACCUUAAGUUGAAACUCUCGAGGCGUGCAGAGGAUAAACUUAGUUCUUUACUAGUUUUGAGGUGUUCAAUCACUUGAACACGAGGACUUGUUCCGGGCAAACAAAGCUGAUUUCGUGGUAAAACCUCGAGUGGCUCCUUGAAGGUUACGGCUAAUUGGGACUAUUUAUCAACAGACUGCAGCCAAUAGUGACAAGUACAUGCUCUUUUCCCUGUUUCUCAUUACCGCUAUCUGUAAUGAGGGUGAAUGUAUCUGUGAAUUUACAUACAAGGGCAGCCAGGAGAGGAGGACGGGGGGAGCCGGUCAGAAAUGGAGGGAACAAUUCAGAAUUUUUGUGGAGAUUUUUUAACCUCAGAAACAAGGUGGAUGGAGGUGAUAGUGAGGGAAAUUUCUGCUGUCAAAGGCCAGCUUUUCUAACUUAUUAGUCUGAGAAUAAUGGAGUGAUUAAAGGUAGGGAGGAAGUUUUGUAAACAUCAUGAAAGGCACAAAGAAAGCACCUCUAGCAAUCUCCAAACCUUAAGAACAAUAUUUCAGCUUGCGUUUGGAUUUGAAGGUUUGGACGUUAAACUGAAUUAGAAAUAUAAUUUGUACAAAAAGGUUGUGAUUUGUUUGAAAAUUAAUCUUGAAGACACCAGAAGGAGGAUCUUUAUAUUCUGAUUAAUCAGCCCAAUGAGCAGGAGGUGAAAAAUAACAGCCAUCAGUACAGGGCCUGAGUCUACCUCUGAUGGAAAACACAAGAACCUCUUGAGCUGGUGGGGCCAAAUUAAAUUUUUUAAAAGGUACCAAAACUCUGGAGGUGCUCCUAGGGUCCAGUCCUCGAGGCCCACUGUUUUGGAUGUUUCCCUGCUCCAACACACCUGAUUCAAAUGAUCAGCUCGUUAUCAAGCUCUGUAAAGGCUUAAUAACGAGCUGAUCAUUUGAAUCAGGUGUGUUGGACUGGACUUGAGAAACACUGUAUUAAUGUAUAUGUAUUUGUUAUAUGUGACAGUUAGUGUCCAUGGACCUGCUUCAGUGUCAGGCUUUUCUUUUAGCCUUCAGUUCUGCCGGUGUCUUAGUAUCAGACUGUAUUAUACUCCAAAGGCUGUGUGCAUUGUUAUGCUUGUGACUUAAUGGCACCUUGUAGUUUAUUUCUGUGUUCAACCUACUUGUAAUUAUCAGUCAAUAAAUGCUUUUAGACCAAAAUGUUCCUGCUACAGAGACAGUUUGUAGUUUGAACAUAAAGCUGCAAGUUCUGCUUUAUAUAUAUAAUUAUUUUUUUUAUGAAAGAAGUCAUCUUUUCAAGCAGCAGAAUGAAGUUGUACUCUUUUUUUAUAGCUAGCUAGAGUUAAAAUGUCUUUACAGGUUUGAAGGUUGAAGAUUUGUUCUGGGAAAUCAGUGCACAAACCUUUUUAUACAUUUUCUUUCUUGCUAUUGAUCGUAAAUAAAUCAACACUUUUGAGCUAUAGGCCUUCGAUAUGAAGGUGUAAAGCCAGUGCCCGCCAGUCUUCCUGGUUUGUGAGAGACAUUUGAAAAGGAUGUUUUGUGCAUAUAAAGCUGUGGUUGUAUUUCUUCAGGUAACUGUCAUUGGUAGAUUUGCAGAGAUACAACCUUCACUGAUCAACAUCCCAUCAGCUGAUUGUUGUUUAGAUAAAACGUUCACCUCUUUCAAUCAAAUUAAAGCAGAUCAGGAGCUACAGCCUGAUUUCCAUUAUUACAAGCUUUAGUUUACAUUUGUGCACUACCUACCUACCCUUUGUCUUUGAUGAUAUAGUCUAGAUACUUUUAACCCCAAAUUUCCACCGUAUUUGGAACAGCACCACUGCGGAAUGGCAGAGAUUUUAGCCAUCUGGCAAUUCCUACCGGAUGCAUUUUUGAGGUGAUUUUCAUGGCGAAUUUCGGACAGUAGGAAUUGUGAGGACUCACAAGAACCUGCGAAUUCAAAUGCAAUGGAAAUGUAAAUCCACUCUGUCAAGCCCAGUAGAUCAGACACAACCGUAUUUAUCUUUAUCUACGAAACAGAUAAUAAACUAAAAAAUGUAUGAGUACAUCCCCGCCCACGUUUGCAUGGUGUGAAGUACGAUCCACCUGAGGCACAUUGUGUUUUAUUUUGAGAAGAAGACGGAUGUUUUAAUUCGUGUCUGUACCCGACUUCCUUUCCAGCACGGGGCUAAUCUGUGAUAAAUUUAUGCGGCAUGCUGCGAAGCCCGCUUAACUGCAGGGGGCUGGAAAGAAGCAAGUGGAAAUUGACACAUGAUCUUGCAUGGAAACAAUCAGUGGCGAUCGGUGCUGAUAGCCUUUUUACCGCUGUUCCACAUUCGGUGGAAAUUUGAGGAUGAUGCAACAGCUGAUUCUACUCAAAAUUCAUCUCCAUCGAAAAAGGUUAAUGUGGGGAACCUGUUUGUUAUGUUUUCAGACUUUUAAGCAAACAGUUUCAACUUUAAGUUCACACACGUUGGUUGGAUGAAUAAAACUUGGUGGCUGGUAGACGCUGAAGACUGAUGAAAAGUAAAGCAAUUCUUAACUUUUUGGACCCGAAUAUGUAAAAAGGAGACCAGCUUUAAGCCCAUUUGAUGUUAAAAAUGAAGUUUCAUUCAAAUAAGUUUAUCAGUAACAUGAUAAAAAGUACAUGAACGCUUGUAAAAGACUCUAAUAACUUUUAAAUAAAACAAAGUUUAGUUCUAUUAAAGGUCUGAAAGCUUUCCUGACCUUCUGUUUCGGUACAAUGACAGCUCUUAACAAAGACAGAUUGUGACAGGAGGUGGAUUUGCGCUGAAAAACAGACAUCCUUAUCUGGUAAUUACGGGUACAAUACUGUCACAUUUCAUUCCACUCGGUACCUGCUAUCAGAGCUGAAACAAAUAAAGAGUGCAUCUCGUCCUGAAUCCAAAUGUGACAUACAGUUUGCUCUCAGAAACUGUCAAAAGACGAGCCGGAGGGAGUAUCUCCGCUCAGGAUUAUUCCGGCUCUUUCUUUGCUCAGAGAUCAGCAGUGCCGGGUUGAUUUAAUCAUUCACAUUAACGCUGCUAAUUAAAAUUUCUGCGCCCAUGUUGGUGAAAAGGCCUUCAGAAGAGAAUUACCUUGAGACAGCGUCCUCCAGGCCAUCAGUAUGCAGGGAUGCCGCCGCUGCUCGGCUUGCUUGACAAGUCUUAUCUUCAGCCGUCGUCCACAGGUGUUCGCUGUCACAGGAGUGUGAUCAAAAUGCUGCGCAGGGACUGGGCUGCAGCCAAACGCUAUUUACCCGCCAGAUUACAGAAAGGCAGGCUGCUGGGAGAGGAAAGCAUCACCACAUGCAUCUUCACUCUUAAUAACAGUAACAGCCCCCAGCAGCUACAAACAAGCUAACAUUUCCCUUUUAAAAGCUGGAAGAGCCUGCAGAGAGAGAGAGAGAGAGGGAGAGAGACAUUACAAUCAGACAGAAAUACAGGCAGCAUGAAUCUUUAUGUGUGUGUUAAAAUUUCACUGCAGAACAUGUGCAGCAAUGAUGGCUGAGGUGUUUCUGGAUAAUGCGGAGAUGAUACCGACUGUGUGCUGAACUAAAUGUUUACACCCUGCAUGCAGCUGCACAUUUAGAAACAUAAAGUAAAAAUAUUAAGAUAAUUUCAGUGCAGCAUUUAUUACCAAUAUAAAAAGACUUAAAACCCCAACUCCUGCAUAAAACUUAUAAAAUCAUAGGCCAUAAUAACUUAGGAGAUUGUACACAUCUGCUUCCACUCGGUGGAGCAUGAGGGGAAAACAGGACAUCAACACUUCUUUUAUUAGCAGAAACAUGUAUUUUCCGUCUUGAUAGAGUUGGUUUGAUUUAACCCUGGCUGUUUCUCUGCACCAAUAUGAGAGGAAACAACCUUAGAGGAAAGAAUAAAAAUAAUCAAGAUACAAGACUUCAGGUCCUGACACACCGGGACCGACGCAAAUAUACGACACGAAAUUACGAAAUGUUCUGAGGCAAAUUUUGACGUGCCUGACUAUACACAUCAAGCCCGAUGCAAUUUUGUGACUUUCCGGGGGGAAAAAAGGAGACUGACACAACAGCAGACUGACUGUUUUUCAGCUCUGAUUAGACACUAGUGUUGAGAUGACUGUCUGUCAUGAUAGCAUGUACUGAGUCAGGGCCAGUACCAGAUAAGCACAUUAAACUAUAAUCCAUAAACGUAAGGUAACAACCCAGACCUAAUGGUGCUGUGACAGCAACGCGAUUGAGUUUGAGACAGUGAAAAUACAUAUGGUAUGUUGUAUCUGAACAGGUUAGCUUACGAGCUAAAGUUACUUAGCACAGAUGAAAGUUAAAACAAAGACGUUUAGCAAACUGUUAAAGCACACAAACCAUCGUCAUAUGAGAAAUCCAACGCUAUGACUCUCCACAAGUUGUCCUUCAGGUGGUUAUCUUUGUAAUGUUUGUGUUUUUUAUCAAAAAGCACUCUGUCCUCUGACAUGUAAACAAUCAGCUGGUCGGCCAUGUUGGAUAUACCAGUGAAUCAGACGUCGCAACAACACGCAAUCUGAUUGGUCAGAAGUGGACACACAGUCUGCGAAACUUGAGAAAAAUUGACCGUGAUGCGAAAAAAAAAAUACCGCAAUAUCGCAGGAUGGGAAAAUGUUGCUGAUGUGAACGCUUGUAUUGACAGGAUAUGGGUCCGAAAAAAAAUAUUGACGUCCGAAAUAAUCGCAGGAAAAAAAUGGUCCCUGUGUGAAAGGACCUUACAUCUGUAGAUUAGUUCAGUUCAUUUCAUGUUUCCCAGGCUCAAGCUGUAUUGCCCCCGGAAGCUCCAAUAACCAAUCAUAGCAACGCAGUAUGUGAAGUAACAUGGAGCGGCAGAAAAUCUAAACAGAUUGAGGUAUGCAUGUGAAGAUACAUCAAGUUUGUUGAAAUCGCUGUAAUGGCAGAUUCAACUGGCUUUCUUGCAGUAGAGGCGGCCAUCUUUUUUGUUUACAAAAAGGCUGAUGUGUCCUGUGCCAUCAUCUUUCAAAACCCCUCCACAUAUCCAUAUAUCUAUUUGUUUUCUUCUGCUUAUCCAACAUGAGGUUGUGGAGCCAGGCAUUCCUCACCCGAUUGGCUCUGACUUCCUCCAGAUCUCCACUUCUAGGCUUCUCUCUAAAACUGAUCUGAUCCCCUUUAGAGGUAAGUCAUUCGGGCCAUUUGUAAUUGUAAACUCAUUCUUUCAAUCAGACUGUAUAUAGAAGAACGCCGUUCGUCUCCUUGCUGGGUGAAGCCACCGCGAGAGCAGCACCCUCUGGUGACGGGCAGUAUAGGUCAUAAAUCCUGGCUUCUCCAGCAAUCCCUAUGGAGCUACAGACAAACUUUAGAAAUUUAUUACACAGAAUAUAAUUUUUUCUCCCCCCUGGUUGCGAUGUUGACAUGUAGUUGUUGUUGUUAGACUGGUUUGUGCUCAAGUCCUCUUUUUUCUGUGGUGUAUUUGUAAUUGACAGGAAAUCGAGGGCAGAAUUCACAGAAACUAGUGUCCAGGAAAGUGGCUGAGCACAGAGCAUUUUUACUUGGUAAUCUUCCACCUCUGCAACCAGACACAUUUUGAAUGUCUUUGUCCUGUCCUUAAAAUCCAGAUACUCUGAUGAAUUGUGGCUCUUUGGGUUGAAGUAGAAGUCUUUUUUCUUGAACAGACCAGCUCCAGGCCCUCCAGAUCUGGAUAAUAAACUUAAAUGUCAUCAUAAGAACACAACAUGAUUCUUCAAACUCCAAACACAAGAGGCUGGGAAUAAGAAAUGAAUUCUCCAUUGUGGCUGAUUUUCUCUGAACAGCGCAGAGAUUCAUGCUUUCUCAAACAAUAGAUACAAUAUCAAUCACAGCUGGGAAACGCUUUUGGGCAUUUUCGUUCAAACGUUUUUGGCUGGCUGUUGAGUCGGGUUGGUAGCGUGAGAAGAAUGAGUGUUAUUUCCUGAAACUGCCUUCGGUUAUUCCAUUUGUCAGGCUUUCAGGAGCGAGCUGGAGAUGCAUUUGAGCUGCGUUUGAUCCAGCAGCCAGCUGGUCUACGCCAACAAAGGACUGCUGAGGCUGAUCACCCUAAAACUGGUGUCAAACCAGACCCUCCAAACCAGACAGAUAUACUCCAUAAUGGGAAACGACACAACCAACUGUGGGAAACACUUAGAAAUGAGCUUGUUGACAGAUUAGCAUUUUUUCGCCUGUAGGUCCUAGUGAGUUUUUAUCUCUGAUAAAGGAAUAUGCUCCCAGCCGACUGUUCACCAGAGAUAGAAAAUAAAAGAGAAAACACUUUAAUAGGCCAUUUUUCUCUGCUUCCUGAUGUGUCCUUGUAAAGGGACUAUUAAGUUGUCUUCAGAGACAAAUUACAAUAGAGAUAAAGCGAGCGUGUUUGUUGAUCCGACUGAUCUCAGCCAGCUGUAAAGGAAGCCAGAAGGUUUCUGUGUAAUCGCCAAACAAGCAGCAGAUAACAUCACAACCUGACGUUCAGACCGAGCUGUUAUAAACGGCUUUCACUUCCACAUUAGCAGGAUGACUUUCAUUCAUCUCCUGCUCUCCCCCUGCCAUCCACUCAUGAUAUCUGUGAUUUUAAAUGUCAGCGAGGAAAAAGGCCAGCUGAAGGUGAGGACUGAGAUUUCUCAUCAGCAAUAAAAAAGAUAUGAGGACAAACUUUGGAAAAAAAGUUGCUGAGCUUGACAAAGAAGUGUAUUGCAUGGUGAAAGAAGAGGGUAUGCUUUUAGUCAAGUGUCAUAUUUGCCUUGUUUGAAAUAAUUAUGAUUUAUAGUGUUCUGGUGCAUGAUAUUGAGUCGAGUUAUUAGCAUCCUGCUGGGGCAUGGACCAAUUAGCAGCAUGACUCUCUGCACCUGUGGAGCUCUAUCCCUUUUAAUAGACAUUCCUAAGGACCAAAUGAAGAUGAUAAUGGUGCGGUCAGUGACAAAUUAGCGCCCAACAGCUGGGACACAAACCAGGAAGAAAGAGCGAGGAGCAGUGGGGGUGGACAAGAGAGCAACAACUAUGAAACAUGACAGCGCCUGUAUCUGAAGAGGGGGAAGCCCUGCAGAGCUGAGGGUGUCCAGAGUGAUGUAACAUGACCUAGCAAGGACAUUUUCUUUAGUGCAUUUUUUUUUUCCUUUGCAAUCUUGCAACUGUCUGGCUGCAUUUGAAGUUUAUCUUUUCUUUCGCUGCAAAGAAACUGCUCCAUACCUGUUUGAAAAAAGAGAAAAAAAACAUGAUUAAAUCAGUUUUAUCAUCAUCUCUUAAAAGAGCAUUUUUGACUCUUCAACAGACAGCUCUCCUCAAAAACUGACCUGAUUACAACAGUAGGGAAAUUGUUUUUUCUCGCCUAUAUCUAUCUGUUCAUUCGUGAUAGUGAUGAGAAGAACAGUUAUUUUGACUGUACCAUUCAUUAAAAGAAUUCGUUUAAAAGAUUCGUUCACUGAAUCAGUCAGCACGAUGGAGUCCCCCUCUGCCGGUGCAGUACACGAGUGAGUGACGCAGCUGCGAAUUCGUUCAUUGAAAAGGGAGACACGUGUCGUUCAUUUACCAAGUCGUAAAAGGAAGAAUCACUCCCCUGCCCUGAAAAAUUUGCCUCUCUGUGUAUCGCCGUCGGCGGAAACAACACAGCAGCAAGCAGCACGCUUGCUAAAUGAGCUUGAGUCGUCAUUCUGGUACUUUUAAGGUAUCAAAUAGCCUAUUCCUUUAAAUCGGCUGAAAUUAAAUCCUUCUUGCAGGAAAGUUUAUACACGUGUUUUAAUGUAAAGGCACUAUAAUGCAGUGUUUUUUAUCUUAGCCUCAGUGAAUAAACCAGUGUUCAGCAGUAAGUGAGUGACACUACACCCCUCCCUCCUCUGCCCGCAUCAAAUCAUUUGGAAAUCGUUUGUUUCAUUCACCAUGUCGUUCACUGACUGACUGAAUCAUUCUGUUCACUUACUGAUACAUGUUGUUCACAGACGUUUCAUUCACAUCGACUGAUAUCAUUCAUUCACUGUGAGCAAAUCAUGAGACUCCGCCCGCUCGCUGGCUGGCUGUGUGUCGUUCGGCUGAGCUCAACUGAACAAAAAAAGGAACGAAUCAGGUCCCGGAGUGAUUCAGUUCACAUUGUUCACUCAGCAGUUCUGUUCUUUUGAAUGAAACGUUCGUGAAUGACACAACACUAAUUCGUGACUUCUUUAUCCAAUGGCACUAGUGUUGUGUCAUUCGCGAAUGAAUCAUUUAAAAGAACCGAGUCUUUUGAGUGAAUUUACUGAACCGAAUCACUUCCUGAAGUGAUUCGUUCAUUUCUCUCUCCGGUUGAGCUGUCAGCCACGCAGCUGCCAUAGCACGCAGAAUUGCCGGGUGAGCAGCUGGCGAGCAAGGGACCAUGCACUCCAAUACCUGGAUCACUUGGUGAACGAAUCACGCAGUGGACUACACUUUCUUGAAUCGUUUUUGGCUGAGGGAUUCAACUUUGCUAAAUUGCCACCACAAGAACUUGCAUAUAGUAGGACACAGCAUAAAAAAAGUAGUGUACAUUACCCGCAGUUUGAGAAAUGCGUGACUGUCUGAUCCCAUUAUUGCUGCGAUUUGCAAGGGAACGAUGCAUAUGCUGGGUGAAUUCGUCAUUGGAUGUUCUGUGGGGUAAACGUUCAGUGAACGAAUCACUCACUGAGCCCAAUUUACCGAGUAGACCAGAUAAAUAGCAUAACCACUGGACAGAAAAUUCAUUUCCACAAACCUUUUUGUCAAAGCAACACAACCACAACCACAACCACAACACUUAUCUCACAGUCCCAGGACCCGUGAACUGAAGUGAAACCAUUCAGCUGUGUAUCACCUCAGGAAGUCAGAGUCUCAGACUCCUCCCGCCAAGUGCUGAGUGAUUCGGUGAACGAAUCUUUUAAACAAAUCUUUAUAGUGAACUGAUUCUAGUGAUUCAGUACAUCUAAAAGAACUGCCGUGCCCAUCACUAAAUGGCACAGUGGCAGACCCCCACUGUUAACUUGCUCUCUACAAAUGUUAGAAAGUGCACCAACUCUUUGAUACACCGCUUCAAGGUAGAUGACAUCUGUCUGUCACUUCUUAAAAAAGUUUCUGUUGCUAUCAAAAAUACACAUUAGAUGAGGACUUCUCUUGCAACCAAACGUUAUUGCAACCUCAGGCACCAGAAACUGGAGCUGCAUGAGCCAUUUCUAGAUUUGCAGUAUUUAUUUCCAGUUCUAGUUCAUUAUUAAAUAAAAAACUUAAUAUCCCCGGAUCUUGAACUGUUAUUUUAGAAAUUAAAUAUCUGAAAAGGGGAUUUAAUAAUCACAUGCUUUUUCUUGCACCUUUGGUUGAAAUUAGCGUGGCCAUUAAUAAGUCUAGAGGGGUGAGAGAAAAGGGGGAGAAUCUCAGCUAAAACAGAUCAGAGUUAAGUCCAUUAAAAGCUGCUGAAAAGCUCUGCACAUUUUCCAGACAUAAUGUUUCUGAGGAGCUUCAGGCUCUUUUCUUACGCAUAACCUGUUCUGAACACUGUGCAAAUGAACAGAAUAUAAGAACAGAAACUUCCAAACCUUUAACCUUUAACAAUGAAUUCAAAUAACCCUCAGAGGAAGUGAUUUUUUCAUUUCACACCUGCACCUCCAGACCCACGUCUGACCUCAUACAGCGGUCGUCUCAUACCUCCCUGAGUGGAGAGUGAUUAUCAGAGCCUUUCUUUAUCUGAAUGCACACUGAUUUUCACCGUGUGUUACUACACUGUGUCAGUAUGAGGGGUAGAGGUUGCAGGGUUUAACAAUAGAGAGCAUCAGAGAAGCACAUAAUGAUCACUCAUCACCCAAACAGUCCAUUAGACUCCAUUUUUAGGGGCUGCAGAGACACUUCUCUAUUCACCUUCGACCUGACACUUUUUUCAGUCUCAGGCAGGUGAUUUUAGCUUUCAUGGAAAAUUAUAAAAACCUCCAGUGCUUGGUUCACAAUCCCAGAUUUCAUGAAUGAUAAGACCAUUCUUGUAAAAACCAUUGUCAGUUCAAUUUCUACUUUUAUACUUUUGAAUUCUAACCACAUUUAUGCCUCUCUGAGAGCUUGUACAUGUGCUUUUAGUCAAUCUUUUUAUCACAUUUUACUGCCCCUUUGUGUGGACACGUGACUACACUAAAUCUACUGUAUUUUGGCUCUCAUUUUUAUGUAUUUAUUCAUGUAUUCACAUCAGUAAUACUCUGGCACUUGCACUUGUUUGAAUGAGAGUGCUGCAUAUUCUAUUCUGUUUUGUUUAUAGUGAUUUCUAUGCUACAUCACUCUGGUGGUUAAAUAUAUACACUACAGGCCAAAAUUUUGGAAUCAAGGCCAUUACAGGCCGAACAGUUGGGAGUAACUUUAAGUUUUUGUUCACAAUGCAUGAGUUUUAUGUAUUUUGGGAUGCAUUACUCUUUGAUCAGAUGUUGUUUUCAUGGAAAUGCACCAUUUUACUCCAUUUACCUUUAGAUAUACAUUGAUGUUAACUGACCAUUGCUAAAUAUAUGUCAGCAAAAGAUAAUAAGGGCUUAGUUUUAGGGUUGAUAACAUUUGCAAGAGUCACAACUUUAGUGCAAAAGCAAAAAAAAAAAAUCACAGUUGGAUUAUCAUUUCAACUUUUUGGCUUUUGGUUUGUGUGCUUUAACAGUUUGCUAAACGUCUUUGUUUUAACUUUCAUUAGUGCUAAGUAACUUUAGCUUGUGAGCUAACCUGUUCAGAUACAACAUACAAUAUGUAUUUUCACUGUCUCAAAGUCGCAAAAUUGAAUCGGGCUUGAUGUGUAUCGCCAGGCACGUCAAAACCCGCCUUCAAAUAUUUCUGAAUUUCGCGUCGGAUGUUUGCGUCGGUCCUGUUGUGUAAGGAACUUAACCUGUGUAUACUGUAUAUGCCAUCUAAAGCAUGCCAAACCUGUAGAUGGCAGUGCAGCGAGAGGCUCAAGCCCACGUUAGCUAAUCAGAAUCCCACAUAGCAGCAACAACAACAACAUUACUCCCUUCUUUCCUGUGCACAAUUUGCCGUCGGCUACACAAAUUUCUGUUUUUCUCCGUUUACAUGCGAACAUGCAAAUGGAAUUUUCCAAAAUCACUCUGGACGGAGUUCUUAAAAAGCAUUGUUUUCAGGGGCGAAUUCUCCAUUUGCGUCUAAAUGAAGGGUGCAAACAAUGGUGAAUGUUUCUCUUUUUAAAAAGAACCAUGUCUGUAUAAAUGGGGCCAAAGUCUUACCUCUUUAGCCUGGCUAGGCAAACACACAAUUUUUUAAUUUACCCAACAUUUUUCAGGCUGAGCCUCCUGCCAAAGAGCUACAACACAAACAUUAUCUCAGCCAUGCCCCGAAUAUGCAAAUGUAUGAAUAAUCCAUAGUUUAUUAGCAACACAUACCAUAAGUUUUUGAAUGGGGCCUUUUUCUGUUGUAACCUUGGACGUGUUAACACUGGACGUAAUGGGGAUUUGUUGGCUUCUGCAGCCAGCCUCUAGUGGACACUAAAGGAACUACAGGUUUCUGCACUCCUGUGGUAGCUUCAUUCUUCUCGCCUUGAGGAUGCUGUAUGUGAAAGUACCUUGUGUCCUCUGCCGUUCAAAGAACCUUUGCACUUCAUUUCAUCAUCUCUAUACUGACUGAUUUUCAUUCUCUUGCAUGUCAAAAAUCCUUAUCCUCGAUUCCCGGUAUUUCUAUGAAAACCUGUCUGACAGACGAGCAAACAUCCCUCCUCAGCUGGCAUACAGAUAGAUAGAUGUUGCUCUGUUAUUGUCUGUCACAUGGAAACACUGUUUGUAAGCAGCACAGCUGUCAACAUGUCAGCACUUCAGGAUGAGGCAGAAUAAAAUACAUGUGGCUUUUUUCCAAGCAGCAGCGAUAUCUCAAUAAUCAGUGUCACUACAGUGCGACACGCUGCCUGGAGAUGGAUUCAGCCAACCAAGUAUGUUAGAAACAUGUGAAUUUAAUGCAGAGGAUUGUGCUUUAGUGGAGUGAAGCUGUAUCUGUGAGGUGAUUUUAAAGUCAGAAGAGCUGUGUUUAAUGUAAGAAACCAUUGCUGCUGACAGAGCCUGCAGCUUGGCAUUAAAGGGCAUCACAUCGCUGGAUUGCUUGUGACAUUUUGGUGCAAUUGUUUUCACAGCUCAUGAGUUUUCUGAAUCAAGUUUGGACCUUUCACACCUGUAGCUGCGGUGAAACUCCUGCACCUUCUCGCUGCUCCGUGUUUGUGAGUCUCAGAGGAGCGUUGUGUGUUUACCGGAGCGAAUAAAACACCGAGAGCGUGGGAUUAAAUAACAAAUAUAAUGUCCUGUGGUGAAGUUUGCUUAAAGUACAGGAGAAAGCAGGAAUGAUAAUGUGUUUAGAGGCUGUUUUCAGUGCUGCUGAUUCAGAGGUCAGAGUUAAGUUGCUGUACGGGAAAAAGUGCUGCGUGGUUAUCUGAACUACACACUGUGAAAUGUAUCAGGACAGAGGAGCCAGUCAGCUUAAAAAGGAAAACAGGCUGAAUAUAAAAGCAUGUAUUUACUAUUCAGCUACAGGUUACCGCUGUGACUUUCCAAGGCCAAUAUAAUAAUACAAUCCUGACUGCUGCUUUGAAUUAUUAGGGUGUUUACUCUACUGUUCAAGAGUGUACCCUGGAAACUUGUGCGAGGUUUCUGAAUGUUUUUGGUAUUUUUUCAAGGUCAUAACACGCCUGUCUAACAGCAAGAUUUCUCAGCGCACCCUCUGAAGCUAAAUCACAAGACAGGUUGUCAAACUGCUGAUGAACUGCCUUAUCCAGCAGUAAUAAAACCAGCUAUAAUGGCUGCAAAGUAACCUUCAGCAGACACUGCCCUCAUCCACCUGAAGUCUGUGCUCUUGUCUCUGACAGGCUCAGAUUGUUGUCAGCUUACAUGUUACGGGUCAAACUCUCUAACCUGUGCAAAAAGAGGAUGGAAUUUCUAGGGGUGUCCCGAUACAACUUUUAUACUUCCGAUACAUUACCGAUAUUGUAGCCUACAGUAUACGGAUACUGAUCUGAUAUUGGCACAAACUUGAGCAUGGCAAGUUUUAGGACUGGGCAAUUAUAUGAUCGUGAUUGAUGAUCGUGAUGAAUUUCAGUUCGAUCAAGUUAAUCAGCUGUGAGCAUAGUUACUUGAUCAAAUGUAGCGGAAAUAUGCGUCACAACAGCCAAUCAGAGUCAAGCUUUUCCUGCUCACUUCUGUAAGUUGCUGGAGAAGUAAACAAGAGAAGUAAACAGAAUGACCGAAUGUAGAGCUAAAUGUGGAGCCGAAGGGAGCAAAGUGGAUGUCAGCCGUGACUUAGUCAUCCUCAAAAGAUGUUAUUAUUGAAAAGUUAUUCAAGGUCGGUUGUGUGGCGGUGGUUCGGGUAUCUCCAAAGUGACGUUGAGCAAUUAAGCCAAUGUGAGAGGUAUGUCAGCGGUUGGUGCCCUCAAAAACCGGCAACACAAUAGAUCUGUUUAAUCGUUUAAAGAAGUACUUCCCGGGUGAUUAUGCGGAAAGCAUGAAAAUGCGAGCAGAGUCUGCACAGCCUGACACUUCUGAUGGUACAAGUAGCAUUAGCAGUUUAGCUACAACUAGCGGUGCAGCCACCAGACCAAAGCAGCAAUCAAUCGUAUCAUCUAUGUUUACAUCAUCUAAUGUUUACAUUUUAAGGCGUCUUUAUUAUCCCUGAGGGAGCAAUUUGUUUGUUUUGGGUCUUGCAUACCUGCAGAAACUCUCAGGACUGUAAACUAAUUUAUUGUAUUACUUACUAUUUAUCUACAUUUGUUGUACUGUUGAAUUGUUUUUUAUAUUACUAUGAGUUUACCUUAUUCAAUUUGCUUUGUUUUUAUUUGUAUGUUAAUAAAAUAUUGACCUAAUCUCUAGUUUAAUUAGUUUUUAGUACAGAUACUUAAAAAAAAAAAAUCGUGAUUAUAAUCGAGAUCGGAUGAUAUGACAAAAGAUCGUGAUUUUUUUUUUUUGCCAAAUCGCCAAGGCCAAGCAAGUUUUGCACUCAGCUGCAACAUCUUUUUGGGACUUGAACGAAAACUACUUCCACAUGGCCAACAUCACUCCAACUCCUUGCUAAUUUUUAGUACCUUAGUACACACUGUUGUUGUGAUCCCAUGGGCUUUGCAUGCUAGAUUUGAGUGCUGCUAGAUAGGGGUGCUGGAGCGGAAUCUGGAAUGGACUGCUUGUAUUAUGCUAAUAUUAGAGAUUUUUAGAUACAGGCUGGUAUAAUCCAAUAUUUGUUUUUGUUUGUUUGUUUUGCUGAUAUUGAUAUCUGAUAUCUGUCAUAUAUCCGAUAUUGACAUCCAAUAUUGGACAGAUAUGCAAUAUUGAUAUCAGAUAUCAGUCCGAUAUCGAAUCGGGACAUCCCAAGGAUUUUCCUCAUUGCUUUGCAUCGACCCGCAGCAGUGCAUUAGGCUGUAAUAUCUGCAGUCUUCUGUAAUCUUAUUAUUUCUGCAGAGAGUUCUUGCUUUUGUCUCUGAUAGGCUCAGGUUGUUAUUCUGAAGACAUUUCAAUGUGUAGCAUUGUGUCUGUUUAUGCAUCCAACUGUGUCAUGAGCAAAAUUGUGAACAAACUUCAUGAUGAACUCAGCAUGCUUUUGGAGGAUACCUUUAGGAAAUACAAUAUAAAGUUCAACAUCAACACCCACUGACCCGUCAACUCGCUAGUCACUUAAUUCAAUGACUAUGCUAAAAAAAUGUCCAAUCAUAACUUUAAUUUAUUCAAUGUAACACUGUUAGGUUAGUGUUUUUAAUAGCUAUUAAAUAAUAUGUCCAUCUUAUUUAAGCCAUUAUAUUGCCAAUGAGUUUCCAUUUACCACCAGUUUAAAGUACUCAGCUGGUUUGCUCUCAUCCACUGGUCUAAUGGUCAAGCCUGUUGCCUGUCACUUGCACACCGUUGGCCAACAGCAGUGUUGUUUUCGUCAGGCAGGACGAAAACUUAAAUGACGACGUCAGACCCCUUUUUUCCUUGACGAAAAUGAGACUAAGACGAACGUCACCAAAGCUCUGUAAAGACUAAAAUUUGACGAAAACUGUAUUCAUUUUCGUCAGACGAGAACGAGACGAGACUAAAUUGUUAUUAGGUGGACGAACAAAGUUUCAAAACAUGCUUUUUUUUGUCCUAACAGUCACGCCCCCAUCACACACGCACCAAAAGCCUCGCUCGCGCACAGCUGCGCGCACACACUCAUACACAUACACAGAGCGGCAGGUGGACGAGGCGCGCACACACACACACACCAUGGCGGCAGGCACAGCAGCGGUGCCCGGUGGCCGAAAAAAGAGGGCUGCUUUAUGGUCCUACGUCAGAUACAGUCCAAGUGACAUUAAAACACAAUGUCUUGUACGGGGACGGGGAGACGAGACAGACGACAGUUGUGGAGCCACGGCUUCCUCAUGCUGCGGCUUCAAACUGUCGGGAAAGAACACCACGAACCUCAAAAGGCACCUUUUUGUUGACUAAAACUAGACUAAAACCGUUUGAGUUUUCGUCGGACUAAAACUAGACGAAAACUAUCGAGGAUAGAAAUGACUAAAAUGGGACUAAAAUGAAGAAGCAUUUCGUCAAAAUGACUAAGACUAAAACUAAAUCUAAAAUGCCUGCCAAAAACAACACUGGCCAACAGCACAUGACGUAUUUCCCACACAACCCCCACUGGCUGCCAGUCAACUUUAUUCAUGGACCUGUCUUACAUUUUUCUUUUUAUAUGCGUGUAGGUGUUCAGAGAGAGGAAAGGCAAUCAACAUGUCCCUCUGGUUCAUGAUAGAGGUAGUCUGUCUGGUGUUAAAUGUAGAACUUUGGAAGUCAUUUCAUAGUUUAAUUUCUGAAAUUGUUUAUGAACAGACCAAGCGACAGGAUCUCUUGUCAUUGUCCUCAGCCGUUCUCAGGGUUCAUCCAAACUUUAUCUGAGUCUGAACUUGUAAAAUGUCAUAAAAACAUGCGACGGUUUGUUAAAUGAUCUGUCGCAGACUUUAAUCCUGUCCUGAUGAAAACAGAGGCUUAUUCCUGAGACUUUAAUCAUUAAUGUAUAAAAAGAAUUGAUUAAAUGAGCCACAGUGACGGCAGCUAACUGAAACUGGGAGUAAUGAACCUGAUCCUGUCUCUAAUGAAAGUCUAAUAUAUCAGCCAGCAAACGACUUUACACCUGAUUCAGUUUAUGACGGAACAAGCGACGGCAUCAUGUGAGGACAAAGUAAACUCUCCAACAAAGUUCAGUCAGACUCAGAAAUGUUUUACUGCUUCCUCUUCUCUCUGAGUCUAACGCCUGGCUCACACAGGACGCCGCGCAUGCGCUUGGCUGUUCACACAAAGCGUUUUCUGCUGCGCUCUGCCGUCUGCCCUCAGUUUUCCACACUUAUGAGCGCUUUAAACAUGGGUACGUCAAUAUUUAUUUGUUUUUUUUACGUCAUACAUGAAUUAAAUAUUGGCAGCAUCUUCAAGUAUUGUUUUAAAUUGUUAUAUUGGGGUAAACAAUGAAUGAAUUGGGGAGUCUGUUGACUCCAUUGUAUGUGUAGCCUUGUUAGCUCGAGGCUAUUGACUCUAUCGUAAUAAAGUGUCUAAACGUACUAAUUUCUUUGGUUUUGUAGGCUAAUAUUGUGUUUUUAAAUUAUAAAAGAUUUUAUUUUGUCAUAAUUAUUCCCAGUGUGUGCUGUCGUGGAGAGAAGGAGAGUCCUGGCUCUCUACUGCGUAGGCUCCGAUGACAGAGAAGGAGAUUGUGGGUCCAUCCCAUCAAUAAAAGAAGGGGGCAGCAUGGUGUUUUCCAUCAUCUUAUUGAUGAACUGCACCUGGACAGUGCCCACCAUCUGAAGUAUUUCAGGAUGAGUCAUGAAAAGAUGGAAGAACUGCUGUCAAUUGUUGGACCAGAUAUAUCAACAAUGACCACAACCUACAGAGAAGCCAUCCAUCCGCAACAGCGUCUUGCUGUUACACUUUGGUAAUAAACAUCAUGAUAAUUGUUAUUACUAUGUUAGUUUUACCCGAAUGAUUCACACAUACAAGACCAAAAUAACAAAGAACUCAUGUUCAUGCAUUUACAAAUGUAAGAAUUCAAAGAAAUUGUUAGAACAAAUAUACAAAUAUUCCAAUUAUAAACUGCUCCCAAAAUAAAGCUAAAGCUAAAUUAACUUAAACCAUUUACAUAACACGGCAAACCUCAAAUAAAAUAAUCAUCAUACUACAAUUACAGGCAUCAAACAGCAAUCUCACAGAUUCCCUUAUAACGGAGGAGAUCUUCAAGCUCCUCCAGAAAAGACACUGGCCUCGUCACACCUCCAUGGGAACAAGGUUGUUGUUCUGUAUGUGAUUGGUGGCGGUGCUGAGUAGGGGGAGGGGGGUCGGGGUGUUGCUGGGGAUGUGUCCAUGAAAGAAUUGUUGUGUGCUUUGUUGCUGCCAGGUACGGGAAUGGGGUUGCGUAUUGCUUGCCUCUUCCUCCAGACUUUCUAUCAGGCGUAGAAGUUCACCCUGGAAACGGUUUUGAAGGACAGGUGGUAGUGCAUUUAUUCUUGGGAUGAAACUGUGUAAGUAAUAUCCCAUUGCCUCUUCAUGGGUGGGGACAUGGAGGGGAGGACUGACUUUAUCGGCCGUGAGUAUCUGCAAGAGCUGCUGCUCCACUCCCACAGCAGCUGAAGAAUAUUCCCGGCCCUGAUGUUUCUUCUUUCUUCGCUGUGCGUCGGAGGAAAGCUCUUGCACUCCGGGGUGUGGUGGUGGGGUGUCUGACUGGAUCAUUUGUGAUGUGGUCGUAGCUGAUCUCUGACCAGAGCCACUUUGAAAUGGCGAGGAGGGUCUUGUCAAGGGGGUUGGAGUGCAAGGCCUUGACCCUUGUAGUGAUGAUUGUGGUGAGGAUCCUCCCAUUCCCUCGUCUCCAGCCUCAAAGUUUUCUUCUCUCAGACCCUCUAAGAGUACUUUUUGUGCUAAGAAAAAUAAAUACAAGAUAUGUAUUUUUCAAUCAAUGGCUUUCAUAUAAAAGAUGUAUACAACUGAAUGUAUAUGGAAUAAAAAUACUAACCUUCUGGGCUGCAAGUAGGGAUCUACAAAGGAGAAUAGAUAUGCCAGUCUCCAUUCUUUCUGGCUGCCACCAGCAGACCCACUCGCAGUCUUUUUCCCUUUAUGCUUCACAUAAGCAUCUCUCAACUGAUUCCACCUCCUCUUGCAAUCAUCAGCUGUAGCAUAGAAAAAAAUUAUAAAUAAAGCAUUGUAUUGUAUACCCUUGGUAUUAUUUAUGUAUUUCUAUAACGUUUUUCACAUAUUGUCACAGAUUCCUGGCCUCUGGAGAAAGCUUUGCCAGCCUGGCUUACCAGUUCCGUAUGGGGAUGAGCACAGUUAUGAUGUCUGUGCACAUGACGUGCCACGCAAUCGAGAAAAAUAUGAUGACUGCGCAAUUCCCUCCGCCAACAGAGCAAUGGUGGAAGGAGACAGCUGAUAGAUUUUGGAGGAAAUGGAACUUCCCAAACUGCAUCGGAGCUAUUGACAGCAAGCAUGUCACCAUCAAGGCCCAAAUUAAUUCUGGGAGUUUGUAUUUUAAUUAGAAAAAUGUUUCUCUGUGGUACUGCUUGCUCUGGUGGACGCCGAUUAUCGAUUUAUCAACGUCCAGGUGGGGGACUUUGGCAGGUCAACUGAUGGAGGCACCUACAGCAACUCUGACUUGGGUAUGGAGGCCAAAACUCUGGGUGUGCCUGCUGACUGUCUUCUGCCAAGGUCUGGACAACAAGGUCCACUGCCCUUCACCAUGGUUGGUGAUGCCGCUUGCCCCCUUUAACCCUACCUCAUGAGGACAUUUCCCGGUCAGCGGCUUCCAAGAUGGAGGAGGAUUUUCAAUAACAGACUGUCCCGGGCCAGAAUGGUAGCAGAGUCCACAUUUGGAAUUCUUGCAGCAAGGUGGAGGGUGUUCUACACCAGAAUCAAUUUGCAGCCAGAAAACGUUAAUCGUGUUGUGCUGGGUGCCUGCAUCCUUCACAAUUUCCUCAGCAACCCCACAGACAACCACAGGGGGCUGAGGGAGGCGGAGGAUAGAAGGAAACGCCUUGUUGAUGCUCUAAACAUGGGUGGAAAUCACGGCAGAAGAGAGGCAUAUGAAGUUCGCGAGAAAUUCCAUGCCUUCUAUAACUCUCCAAAGUGUUCCCUGGCAGGACCGCAUGGUCUAAAAUGCAUAAUGUUCUGUGAAUAAAUAGUACUCUGAAUUCUUUGUCAUCCUUGUUCACAUUGAGUUUCAAUGAAAAAUAUAUUUUUUGAAUAGAAUUAAAUGCACUAGAAAUUUGCCGCAAUAAAACUGUCAUUAUAUAUAGUAUUAUAGUAUUAUAGUAUUGAGUAAUGGCUAAAUAAAGACAGCUGAGCUUAUCUUUGAUAAAAAAUAAAUAAAUCCAGGCCCUCAGAGUUUAAUGACAAUAAGAGAAUAAUAGAAGGGUUAAAUCUUCACACUAUAUGAGAGAGAUUUGAUAUUUGAUAAGUGGAUAAGUGGAAGACAAAAAAAUACUAUAAUAAUUUUACAUGAGACCAGCUUUUGUUUUAUGAGCAUCAAUAACUACAAGCAUUGUAGGUUUUUUACCUACAUUUGGAAGGGUGGUGUGGGAAGGGGGGGUUAAACUUUGAGUGAGAACGACUCUCCUUUGGCAGUGAUAAUUGCUGUGGGGGAAGGGAAACACACUGUUUCAAAAUGUACUACCUUGAAAGUGCCAACACAGAGCUGGGACAAAGUUUAUAGUUUUGGGAUUGCUGAGAAAUAGGCUGUAACGGCUGCAAGAUCAAAUCUGGUUUUUCGUUCCUGACAGACUCAGAUUGAUAUUCCAAAUGUGUGCCAACAUGACAUAAAAUAACCCCUACAAGAAAAGAGCUUUAUUUAAAAAAAUAAGAAUUUUAUUGUGUCAAUAAAAAAAGUAAAUGUACCUCACAACACAUGAGUUGGUGGUCUACAGUUUAUCAAAGAGGAGGCUUCCAUCCAUUCCUGCCCUUGCUUGAAAGUGUAUUUUUGUUUUUUGUUGGACUAUCACAACCCUAUAAUUAAGUUUUUUUGUUAUCCUAUUUUUCAUGUGUGUUUCCUGUUUUAUUUUGAUACUCACCUCUAUGUCUGAUAUAUUCAGAUUCUACACCUCCUGCCCUCCUGUGUUCCCAGUGUGUAGUGACCGGACCCUCUCUAAUGUGUUUCACCUGUGUCUGAUUGUCUUCACUCACCUUGAGUAUUGAGUCUGUUUUCCCCUGCCUCAGUGCCAGUUUGUCUCUUGCUGGUGUGACUUACAUCACAGCCUUUUUUUUUCCAUUUUUAGAGAUCUUUUGUGACUGACCUUUGCCUUCUUUUUGUACCUGUGUGAGCCUUCUGAUUUUUGACAGCUUUUGAAGUCAAGCCUUUGAACAUUUUCCCCUGGUGCCAGAGUCGUGCAUUUUUUUCCCCUUUGUUUGGCCAAUCAUUUAUGUAGGAGGACCAUAGUGUUGUAUCACACCGGGCACAAAGUUAAGAAAGUGGUAGACCAACAACUCCUGUUUUGACAACUGAAGAUCCUAAGAGGCUUUGACUACAUCAUGUUUCUUGAGAAUUUAAAAUAAACAAAAUAAAAUAAAAUGUUACCUCACAAAAUAUGGGAGUUGCUUCUCUACCUUGCCUUUUAUUGAUUAGUUUAUGCCUCUGUGUGACUUGCUGUUUGAAAUGGGGAGAAGUGAUCCAAAUAAGAUAUUUUGGAAGCAAUAAUGCAAAAGGGGCAAAGUGACAGGAGUUGUUGGUCUACCACCAGAUAUCUACAGGGUAAAAUUGGGCUCUCAAACACUAAACAAAACGCCCAAGGUUUAAGGAAUCAAAGAAUCACACUGAAACCUUAAGUAUGUCACUGUGUAACUCAGGUGUUGUUUCUACAUACCCAGUUAUUUUUAAAAACAGAGACAUUAACCAUCAUUUGCACCUUUCGUUUGGACACAAAUGGAGAAUUCGCCCCUGAAAACGAUGCUUUUUGCAGAGUGGAGAUUUUAGAAAACUGUGUUUGCAUGUAAACAGAGAAAAACUGACAACAACAGAUUGUGCACCGAACACUGGGUUAAAUGGGACAUUGUUUACAAUCUACAGUCUAUGUUUACAAUCUAUAGUGAUCAUGGAUACAUGCAGAAUAGCUGUCGCAUUUUUGCUGGCACAAUCCCUUUGUAUUUGUUUGCAUUUGCAAAUACAAGUGCUGUAAUAUGUGGAGGAGCAGAGACGACUGAGUGCUCAAAGAACAGCAAUGUUGCGACAACUUCUCCCUCCGACACAAAGAGUGUGUCCGCGUCGCCGCCAGCCUUGCCAGUUUUGGGUCUGACCUGGGCGCACUGCUGUCCGGUGGGAGAACUUCGAAAAUGAAGUGGUUCUGCCGUGAGUGGCGUGAAAAUUUCCAGAUUUCAUGGGCAUCACUGCUGUCACUCUUCGAGUUGCUGCGUCCCUACGUCAAGGCUGAUAACACCAUUGUGUGGUCCUCUGUCAGUGUCACAAAAAGAGUUGCCUGCACCCGGUAUUACCUGUCCGAUGAGGGUAGACUACGCAAAACAGCCAAUGCAUUACAGCCUACAGGUUUGGCAUGCUCUUGAUGGCAUAUACACACAGGUUAGUGUAAACGAAAGCUGUGGAGAGGGUGAAAUUUCCGUUUAUGAAAAUGGCUGGGGACAUCUAAAUGUAGUCUCACCGAACUCUACGUUUGCUCUGUGCUUCAUACUGCUGCAGUUCAUCUCACAGCUUCCUUUCGUGUUUUAACGUUAUUAACACCUCAUUAUGGCGCAGAGCGGCUGCCACCACACUGCAGGUCUCACAGAGCCACUCUCACAAAGUCAUAUAAUACUCAUAAUUACCUGUGAGAGGAUCUCAGUUUCACUUAGAAAGAGCUUACUCGUUGUGCGAGUGCAGCAGGUAAGGGAUUAGAUCACUUUCAAUUCCUCCCACCGUCAUCAUUUGAAAGUCAAAUCAAUGUGAAAAGCGUGCAUGUAGCUGGAAGUGUGCAUUAACUCGUUUGUAGACGUAAUGCUCUGUAUUAUAGUCUCAGUCAUGGAUCUGAGUUGCAGUAUUUCCUGAGCAGUGCAGGUGCUAAAUACUUCAAAUACAUUUCGAGCACUCAAAAGAAACGAAGAUGCGCGUUUGAAAAGGAACCCGGCGUUUCAGCUUCCGUCAUGUGAAUGUCUGAACGUACUUCAAAACACGUCUGAGACACUUCACGGUGGAGUGCUUAUGAGAUGCAGGGAGUUGCAUAAAAUGAUGAUGAGCAGCUGAUAAUCAAAUGUUGUAAAGAAAUGAAGAGGAAGCCAAAUAUGUGAAUUUUCUGCAAGUAUUGGAGGAAUGAAGAAGUGAAAUUGAUGCAUUAUCUACUGAGAUUUUUACUCUCUUUUUACAUUUAUUCAUUCGGCACAAUUCCCAAAGUUUGAUUUCCUUGUUCACAUAUUUAAUUCUUUGUUUUAAACCUUUUUUGACAUGUGGUGUAAGUUCUUGACGUCACAACUCUUUCUCAAACUGAAUAGUAUUUUUAACCACAGUUUUCAUCAUUUGCCUUACACUAACAUCAAAAGCCUGACUGGAUGCAAGUCAAGUUUUAUCCCCGUCCCCCAUCCCUCUGCAUAUCAGGUUCAUGCUACAGCAGAACUAGGCUAAAGGCUUAUUUAUGCUCGCCAUAUGAAUGAAAACGUACGCGUCCCUUUUAAAUGACAGUUCCAUCACCGCCCACAUGCUUCUAUGCGUCCUUUAUGUUGGCAUAGAUAUUGACCAUUACAUCCACUAGGGGGCAGGCAGGAGUCAAAAGUUUCUGACAACAACAAACAAACAAAAAGAAAGGUGACUGUGGAGGAGCUAUUGGUGGUCAGUUGGGCCAUUAAAUGCCUUGUUGUUGGAGGAAGGAGAAUUCUUUUCUCUAGGAGUACAGAUGAGAGAAACUGGCGACAAUCGUCAUUUUUAGUACUUGAGGAUGUCCACCGGGGCAUUCGACAUUUGACAUCCAGCACCACAAGUCACACAGCGCACCUGUGAGUGGUGCAGACUGACAAGCUGUCACCCUGCACUCUCUCCCCCCCACAGUUUCCUUCUGGUACUGCUCCUUCUGGCCCGUACCCGUAAACUUCAAGGAUACAUGCAGAAAUACGGACGAAAAAGAAUGCGAAGCACUGACAGAGAGCUCCGUCCGUAUGUUGAACAUAAAUAAGCCUUUAGCAAACUGACCCAGACAUCCUGCUUCCCAGCAACAUUUCCAGCUCCUGCCAGGGUAUUCAGAGGCACCCGUCGGUCAGAUAGGAUUUGAAAUCCCCCUGCAAGCUCUGGGCCUCCUUCCACAAGUUGGACAUAUCAGGAAAUCCUCUGCAUGAAGGCAUCCAGGAGGCAUCUCUAUCAGAUGAGGGAAUGAUUUGGAUUUGAAGGUGUAUCACACCUGACCCUACCUCCUUUAGAUAUCCUCGAAGGAAGCCUUGCUUGUAAAUAAGAUCUCAGAUGCUUUUUGGAAAGUAGUUUUCACCAAGUAUGAGUGCAGAGCAAGGGCAUCAUUCCUGAGCCAAGAGACUCAGAGCCAAAGAGAGUGUAGGAACAGCGCAUAAUGAAAUCUCUAAACAAUAACAAGAUGUCUGUCAUGACAUCUGUAGUUCCAGCGUCUUAUUAAUUCUCUCUGAACAAGCCGAGGACAGCCCUGUAGUCUGCACUUCAUCCUGUGAUCCAAACAGCAUCAGCAGAAAGAGGCUCUGUGGUUCAUAAUGUGAUGCUGUAACAUGAUGAGGGUCCUCUCACAGCAUGGAGGCACAAGGUGAGCUGUAUAAUAGUUGUACUUGAAGCUGUUUGACUCUUUUGUUGUAGAAAUAACAGGCAGCUAGCAGGUAUCGAUGUCUUCCUGCAGAGAAGACGCACUGAUCAAUAAGAGCGUCUGUAAACUCUGAGUAUGAGUUAGGUCAAGGAAGUUGAUGAAAAAAGACAAAUCUGGAUGACCUAAAAAAAAGGGAGGAGAAGAAGAAAAAGAGGAGGAAGACGAAGGUGAUGAAGAAAAAGAUGACAAAAGAAAAGGUUAAUUGAAAAAUAUGUUAAGGAAGAAGACAGCAGGGUAAAACUGUAAGAAAGAGGAGACAGACAGGAUAUGGAUCUGAAAAUAUGACGGAGGAUGAAGGAGGAGAAGGAGGAGACAGAAAAAAAGACGAAGAGGAUGAAAGGAAAAAUAUGAUAAAGAUAUAAAAGCAGAGUCCAAUGAGAGUGAGAAAGGCAGAGAAAAGAGAAGACAAAAGACAAAGGGCUCUAUUUUUGUUUCUCGCCGGUGUUCCGGUUCUGCAAACUUUAGCGCUUUUCACAUAUAUUGACAACCAGAGAUCCCGACCAAACUGUCCACUCAAAUAAGCACUAAAAAAAUAAAGAUAAAAACAUUAUGAUAAACACAGCUGGACGUCGCAAGGAGGACUCGAUCUUAUAACGCAAUUAAGAACGAGCAACGAGGGGCGAGCGCGCCGCUGUAACGCAACAGAUCGGCUUACUGAGCAGCUCGUGUACCUCAUACUUGUCAUUCACUGUUUCCAGGGUGUCACCACAUAACCUGCUCCUAUAGAGAAACACGCCCAUGUUAGCUGGUGACAGCAGUAGCAUCUGUUAAAUUGUGAGCAUCGGUGAUCAUUUUAAUUAUGGAUCUUUUUUUGCAAAGUCUAAGACCACGGUCACAUUGAUUGGCGUGUCACAGUGUAUCACGUUUCAUUGGAAAAAGCACAUGUUAACUUGUGAGAUGUUUGUGUGGUAGGUUGUGAUAAUCCACCAUGACACAAUGUCAGCGUUUUUUAAAAUUAUCAUGCAGUCAUGCAGCAUCACUGGAUUUGCGUCUCAAAAACGCAAGUCAGCCAUGUGCUUCAAUAGAGACGUGCACCUGUUCCAUAUAUUUCACUGUCGUGCCAGAUGUGAUCCUUCUAAACGUGCAAAAGGCAUCUGACUUUGAUGGCCCCACAUGAUGUUGCAAUGGGUGUUCUACCCUUCUGUAGCUCCUAACUAAUUAGGACCACAACACCUACAGUAUGUAUUCAGUAACAUAUUUUGGAUUUAUUUUUUUUUUUAAAUCAUUAAGAAAAAAAUAAAAUAAAAUCAUAUGUGCAGUCAGCCAAUCAGAGCAACCAGUACUUCAGCCACAAUCAAGGAACACCUGGUUAGGCCAAAAAAGAUAUUAAUAGGGGUUUCCAAACAAUUUUGACUUGUUCCAAGUUAGGGGAUCGACAGUGCAAAAAAGAGAGAGAGAGAGAGAGAGAGAGAGAGAGAGAGAGAGAGAGAGAGAGAGAGAGAGAGAGAGAGAGAGAGAGAGAGAGAGAGAGAGAGAGAGAGAGAGAGAGAGAGAGAGAGAGAGAGAGAGAGAGAGAGAGAGAGAGAGAGAGAGAGAGAGAGAGAGAGAGAGAGAGAGAGAGAGAGGUGAGUGAGGUAGUAUAUUGCAGUUGUUUGUUGUCUAGCUUGUGUUUUCUGUAUUGUUUUGUGUGACAUUGUGUUGUGUGUAGGCCUUGUGGUGCGUUCUUCUUGUCAUUGUUGUAUAUUUUGUGUGUCCAGUCUGACUGUCGUGUUGAUUUGUGUCUAAUUGUAUGCUUGUUACCUGUUGUGUUUUACAUCUGUGUUUUUGAUAUUUGUGCUGUUGUGUUUUAUGUAAAGUAGUGGUCAGGUAAGCUCGAAGAAAGCUAAGCUAAGGUAUGGACAUUGUGUGUUUUAUUAGUAAGUGCGAGAGGUGAGUUGUGUUUGUGUAAAAGGUAAGUUACAGUAAGGCUGGUAGGUAAGAUUAAGUUAAGUUGAAAGUAACAGGUAAGAAAAACAGGUAGGGCUGAUGAUAGGGCUAAGUAGCCAGAUAAGUACUCAGGUAAGAAGAUUUUAGGUAAGAGUAGGCCUAUUCAGGUAAGUUUAGGGAUGGACAGGGACCGUGUCUGAGAGAUCACCAAUUAUUUGGUGGAUAAUAUCUACCCGGAAGUGUGUUCCUCCCGAGGCCGAUUCAUCAUCCGCCGUAGAUGUGAGAACUUCCUCAUACGAGGUAAGAAAAGCCUGAAUAGCAGAUUGUACGGUGUAAGGUGGUCACCUCACCUCAGGAGGCAGAUGACAUUUUUAAAGCCUUCCAUGCUAGCCAGCAUAGAGGGCAUUGUGGGAUGGAGAAAACAUUAGAAUCAAUUUCUAGAAGGUACUACUGGCCUGGCAUGGAAAAAGACAUCCAGCAAUGGAUGAGUUGAAAUGUAAUUGUGAUCAGUCUACUCUUUGUGAUGUCUGGCAUCAAUUGGAUUCACCUUCCUGUGGGGUCUGCUUUGAUUCAGAUAAAGGAGUGUCCGGAAUGCCAGGCCAAGCCUACAUCUCAAUUGAGGUAGAUGAAAAUACAAACCUACUUUCCAACAGAAUGAAGAUUUCUUAAUAUCAUGUGUAUUUUCAUUUAGGUGACCGAGCCACUGGAGCUGGUGGGGAUGGACCUGGUUGGAAAACUGACUAGGACCAAAAAUGGCAAUCAGUACAUUUGUGUGAUGAUUGAUUAUUUUACCAAAUGGACAGAGGCGUAUCCCCUGCAGUCGAAAUCAGCAGCUGAGGUUACACAUUGUGUGUUGGUUUUUUUCUGUAAAUUUGGAGCACCAAAACGGUUGUUAACAGACCAGGGUAAAGAGUUUGUUAACCAGGUAAGAGUGAGUGAGUGAGUGAGUGAGUGAGUGAGUGAGUGAGUGCAUUUCAUGUUUUAUUGUUUUCUGACAGGUCAACUACAGUGUCUGCAGCUCUUUGGAGAUAAAAAGGAGCCUUUGUGCCCCUUAUCAUCCCCAAACAAAUGGCUUGGUGGAGAAAAUGAAUGGCACCAUUCAAAGGUUUGAUGAAGGUCUUUGACUAUCAUUAAUAUCAUUACCUUUUUGAGUCACAUUGUAAGUGUGUGUGUCUGUGUAUAUCUGUGUGUAGUAUUUCCUUACAAGAAACCGACAAACCCAACACAUGAGAUGUACACCUGCAAUCCACCCUGUUUGCACUAAGAACCAAAAAACAGUUGACCACCCAAUUUUCCCCGUAUUUGGCAGAGAGGCCAGAUAUCCCACCGAAAUACCAGAGGAGUGUGAGGUAUGGACAAUGAAUUGGUGGUAACAUUUAUUUGAUAUGACAUAGCCAUUUAGGAAGUGACACGAUGCCUUACUGCUGCAGGUAACGCAUGAUGUUGUCGAAAAAAUGAUAAGGACAAAGAAAAUGUCGGAUAGGCUGCAGGCCUUAGAUUGAUGCCAUGAGAAGGCCCUGGAAAACACUCAAAAAGUUAGAGAGGUCCUGAAAAGAAAGAGGGAAGAAGAGGGCCAGGUUGACCAUUUUCAGGUAGGGGAUCUGGUCCUGAGAAAAAACAUAAGAGAGGAACAGCGAAAGGGUGGGAAGAUGGGCCGAGGAAUGUUGGGGCCAUUUAAAAUCAUCAACAUUGAAAAUAAAAGUGUUGACUUUGUCUCUGAAAAGGGGAAGACUACUUUAAAGAUCAAUAUUGAUCAAUUGUCUCAUUACAUCGAGCCAAAAAAGAGGGUCCCACGUCAUUGGAGAGAAGGGGAACAACCACCAGCAACAGCUUCACCGCCACCAUCAUCUCCAUCUCCACCAGCAGCUCCCUCCCUGCCAACUACAGCUCCACCCCCCCUCAUUCUGACUGUGUGGGGAAUCGCGAUCAUGAUAAGGAGUAUUUCUGUCCUGCAUGCAGUUUCAAUAAAUAAUCCUUUUAAAAAAGUCCAGUGUUUCAUGGUCGAUCUUCACAAUUUAUCACACAUGCGUCUCACAAGUUAACAUGGGCUCUUUACACUUAGACAUGGUACAUUGCGAUACGUCCAUGAGUGACCGCUGUUGCAGACUUUUAAGAAGAAAUGGUGUGUAUUAUGAGAUGGUCGUCACAAUAUAACACGGGCAAGCUUCUGGAGUCACCAGCUAACAUGGACGUGUUUCUCUAUAGGAGCAGGUUAUGUGGUGACACCCUGGAAACAGUGAAUGACAAGUAUGAGGUACACAUGCCGCUCAGUAAGCCGAUCUGUUGCAUUACAGCAGCGUGCUCGCCCCUCGUUGCUUGUUCUUAUUUGCGUUGUGAGUUCGAGUCCUCCUUGCGACAUCCAGCUGUGUUUAUCGUAAUAUUUUUAUCUUUAUUUUUUUUAGUGCUUAUUUGAGUGGGCAGUUUGGUCGGGAUCUCUGGUUGUCAAUAUAUGUGAAAAGCGCUGAUGUUUGCAGAGUUUUUCUCCUUGGAAGUGCCGGCGACCGAUCGGUUCGGACUGAGGCUUUUGUGGCGAAUCUGCAGAACAGACAACAUCUGGUUCAGAUUUACUGAAAAUCUCACCACUUAAUAUGAUCACCAGGUAAACCGGAACACCGGCGAUGUGGCGUAGGCGUGGCGUAAGACAGGUCCGCUGCUUCAACAAGGCGUGCCCAAGCACAUUUUGGUAUUUUGGUGAGUGGCGCAGCCCGGCGUAAGUAUCCCCCUCCCUAACUCAGCUCCUCCCAGCGGCGUAAGUCGUAGCGAGGGAGGAGAGAGGGCGUGGAGUGGAUUUAACACAGCCGAGACCUGUUUUUGCCAAUCAGAACCCUUCCUCUCCUCACCUUUAAAUCCACCACGGUGAGGCGUGUUACAAUUUUCGUGAAGUAGUCAAAGAGAUCAAGAGAUGUCUCAAGACAGCAAUGCCACACAACAGAAGGCUGACCAGGUUUGAAUUGGCGAGCUUUCAGCGCACUUUCUAUGCCGCCAGCGGGCACGAAAAUGUCACUGUGCCAGUUGAUUCUGUUGACACCUCCCCCUACCGUGCCACGCCCAGCUUGGCAAACCUCGGUGCGCCUCAGUCCACGAAAAUACCAAACUUGCUGUGCACCGGGCUCCGCCAGACGAAAAUACUACUGCGCAGGGUGCGCCACCCUCCGCCGUGUCACCAGCGGGCCCGAAAAUAGAGCCCAAAGAGUCAUCAGAUAAGUAAAACAAGAAGAAAAAGACAACAGAGGCAUGUUGCAUUCACAAAAAAAAAAAGAGAAGAAGAAGCUCUGUUUUUCAGUCAUUUUUAUUCUGUUCUGUUUUUCCAACUGAUUUUUUUUCAGAGUAUUUUUAUUUUUUGCUUAUGUGACUAAAAAUGUUACAAAAAAAUUUGUCUGAAAAACAGAAAGAGGGGGAAAAUAACUGUACAACAAAAAAUGAAGAAAAAAAGUCAGAAAAACAGAAACAGAAAGAAGAUAAAAUUAGUCUGAAAAACAGCAAAGAAAAAAAUACUCAAAAAAAAACACACUUAUAUACACUUCCAUAGAAGACAACACUGACUUAGAAAUAAAGAAGAGAGAAGAGUGUGUUCAUUUAGACAGAAACACUGAAAUUUAUUUGACUCAUUUCCAGAUUCACCCUCCUGCUGCCAAGAAAGAAACCACCCGAGCACUCAGCGUGGAUUUAACUGCUGCUGAAGAUAGACCCUCAGAAUCCACCGACUAUUUUCAUCCGUUAUAAAACAUUCAAAAAAACCACAACAAGCAAAUGUUUCAGGGGAUAUUUGAGUCUUUGUUUGAGUCAUCCACACACAGUCUUUUGUUUGUGCUUUUCAAAGAGAUUUUGUGAAAGAAACUAAACUGUUUUUCUCCACAGGGAGCUGCGGCUGGAGUAAUCUCUGUUUACAUCAUGGAUAUCUGGCAGCACAGAUCCUCUCUGUGUGCCCAGGCUCAUUAUAUCAUAAGGAGGUUUACAGUCUUUGAUUUACACGUCAUGUGACCUGGUAUUUCCUCGGCACUGGAGGGCCAUGUUGGCUUCGCGUGACUGGUAACAACAGCGCAUUCAGACCCGGCUUGGCACCAUAACGGAGCACAUUUCGUUCGAGCCGGAGGCCUGGACGUCGUCACAAUGAUGCAGCAAAAAAGCGAGUGAAAAAUGAAAAACACCUUCCCGUUCUUUCUUCUCCGGAUGUCGCACACAUGCUGCACUCCCGGCAGAAUGAUCCGCUGCACAACCUAUCAGCUCCUACACAGAAAACAGACUGCAUUCACAUUUGUUUUACACUGCUGCACACUGCUCCAGAGGUGUGUUUUCCCCAGAAAAAGACCAGGACUGCCAGCCAUCCCGGAGAUGCAUUCCCAUUGGAAAUCCCCAACACGAGACAAACAAACAUCCUCCUCGCGAUACAUUAGCUAUUCAUUCACAUUUGCAUGCUUCUGUCAGAGGCUGCCAAGACUCGCUCUCUGUGCAAUGCUAAUCAAUUCCUGCAGCGGCUGGAUAAGACCGCUGCACCCUCCCUUUGAGCACCAGCCAACACUAAUAUGAAUGGCUCAUUUGCAAUGUAAAACAAGAUCAAUUAGUAAUCCAGCAUGGAGUGUGCAUGCAAACCACCCGUUAACCUCCGAUGUGAAAACCUGCUUGUUGAACUGCCGGUCUGCGCUGCUGUUUUGUGUCUAACAGGAUUACACAGUUCUGCAGAGCAUUGUGAGGCUAUGAAGGAAUCUUUCCCUCCAUUACCAAAAUAAAGGAAAGCUCCAGCACAAUAGAGUCAAACAAUAUCUCCACACUGCUGCAGACCUUUCCUUUCAGCUCUUUAUUGAGGUCACUGUGAUUGCGCGGAAUUCAGACGCCUCUGAAUGCAUCGUGAACUUUGUACCUCGGAUUGAAACGAGCCAUAAUGUUUCAAACCUUGUCCGUCAGUCUUUGUCUCGACCUUUCUCUGCUUCUGCGAGCAACAGAAAAAAGAUUACCGUGGACUUAGUGAUGCCGAGGUUGAGGACCUCAUUUAGGGGAUACUGCAUCUUUUAUCCCAUCCUGCAGCCGAGCACAGAGCUCCCUCCUUUACCCUCCUGCAGUGUUCGUAUAACAAAAAGACACUCUUUGGUGUCAGGAAUGUUUAAUUAUCUUGUUAAAGCACAAAAAGGAUUGGGGUGUCCGGAGAUCAGAGGCUGUAUCACUGCAAGGAUUGGGAGUCAUAUCUGUGAGCUCUGCAGAUGCUCCACAGGAGCAGGACUCAGGCAGUAAGAGGAGUUAGAUUAAAUUUCUAACUUUUUAGCUGCCUGCCCCAUCAAUCCAUCAUUCUUCCAUCCUUUUACCUCUUAUCUUGUGUCCACUCAAAGUCAUUAUUUCCUGUCUGGCUCGGGCUCAUCAUUUUCAGCCUUAAAUAAUCAAAUGAAUGUAUAAAAGUAAUUCUAAUUCUUCAUUUUAAAAGUCUUGAUAUUGCCCAUGCAGUCGCCCUGGUGCAUAAUCUCUUCUGUGCAGGUUAUUGGUGUUUUAAAUUCCACUGCCAUGAAGAUGUCUUAAUAAAAACAUUUAAUUGCUACUAAAUUUUAGCAGCAGAACUUCACAUUUCUGCUCAGUGGAAUAAGGAUUUGGCAAACCCAUCCCUGGAAUACUUAGGAUGAUGCAGAAAAUGUUGAUAAAUCAGGAUUUGAUGGUUUACAAAUCAUUUAAGCCUAUAUUUAAUUGUAUGUACAGAUCUUGUACAGACAGGACUCGUCGUUGUUGUUUUCUUCCGCUUGAUCCAGGUCCGGGUCACGGGGGCAGCAGCUUCAGGAGGGAAGCCCAGAUGGCCCUCACCCCAGCCACUUCCACCAGCUCCUCCAGGGGGGAUUCCCAGGCGCUCCCAGGCCAGGCGAGAGAUAUAAUCCCUCCACCUGGUCCUGGGCUGGCCAUGAGGUCUCCUCCCGGUGGGACAUGUCUGGAACACCUCUAACGGGAGGCGUCCGGAAGGCAUCCUAACCAGAUGCCCGAGCCACCUCAGCUGACUCCUCUCAAGGUGGAGGAGCAGAGGUUCUACUCUGAGCGCCUCCCGAGUGUCCGAGCCAAUUACCCUAUCUCUAAGGCUGAGCCUGGCCACUCUUUGAAGGAAACCCAUUUUUGCCGCUUGUAUCCACAAUCUUGUUCUUUCGGUCAUUACCCAAAGUUCAUGGCCAUAGGUGAGGGUCCGCAUGUAGAUCGACGGGUAAAUCGAGAGUCUCGCCUUACGGCUCAGCUCUUUCUUCACCACGACCAAAUCACUGUUGAUGCCGCUCCGAUCUGCUUGUCGAUCUCCCGUUCCAUCCUACCCUCACUCGUGAACAAGAUCCCGAGAUACUUGAACUCCUUUACUUGAGGCAAGACCGCCCCUCUGACCUGGAGAAGGACUUGGAGGUGCUGAUUCACAUCCCAGCCGCUUCACACUCGGCCGCGAACCGCCCCAGCAAGAGCUGAAGGUCACUGCUCGAUGAAGCUAGAAGCAACACAUCAUCCGCAAAAAGCAGCAACGCAAUCCUCUCCCUGCCGAACCUGGUAGGCAGGACUCUGGAGUGGAAAUCACCGGACAGUUCAUCACUGCAACCACAAAUGAGGUUAACACUAGACCAUGUGAAGAGGAAAAGAGAUUGAAACCUGAUCCAGAAACACCAGAGUCUUCUCUGGACCCGGGACCUUUUUGGAUUGACUGAGGGGAAGAGGAAAACUGUCCUGUGGUCUGAUGGAUCAAGAUCUGACAUUUUUAUGGAGCCCUAUGGAUCCCACACCCUUCCCCUUGAAGAGUAGAGGGAUGAUCUGGUGUGUUACCAGCUCCCAUUCCAAAGCCAGCAUUCCUGAUGGUAUGAGGAUCAUCAGAGUCCAUGUCAUGGGUUGGUUCCACAUCCUUGAAGGCUCCAUUAAUGCUGAAGAAUAUCUACCGGUUUAGGAGCAACAUCUGCUGACAUCCAGACAAAGACUUUUUCAGGGGAGACCUUUAUUUUUGAGCAAACCUCAUUCUACAGAGAUUACAACAGCAUGGUACUGUAGUAGAAGUGUCCUGCCGAUAAGCUGGACUGAUGCAGUCCUGACUUGUCACCCAUUGAAAACAUUUGGAGCAUCAUGACACCAAAAACAAGACAAAGGAGACCCUGAACUGUUGAGCAGCUGAAAUCCUCUAUCAGACAAGAAUGGGACAUCAUUUGAAUUGAGCUUCUGUAAACAUGGAGAGUAAAAGGUUGUAAUUACUCCCUGUGGUCGCUGCAGUAAUGCUAACAGAGUAAAUCCCCUCAGACUGCUGCUCAUUGACAGUGUAAUAACUCUCUAUUGGACUCUUGUAGCACCCAUGGGAGUCCUGCUGCAGAGUGGCUCUCUCUCACCUCUGUGUGUGCAGAUCUUAGAGUAAAGAUUUACACAUGAAUGGAUUUAUUUGAUAAUGGCCGUCAUUGAUUAACAUGACAAUGAAAAUCAUUGGACCAAUGAAAGGUGAUUUAGACCUGACCUUUCUUAAUGGGUCACCAUUUCUGUUUCGAGGUGUCGUUCCCGUGUCAAUGAAAAUAUGCAUAAAGUUCACUCUGCUGUGAAUUCAUAGCUUCUCCGAUCCUCAUUCAUGUGUGUCUUUAAGCUUUUAUUCUUCAGUCAAUGCAAAGGAAAGGAGCGAGAACAUUUUUACGCUGCUUUUAUAUCCACAUCUUAAAUUCUCUGUGUCAUAAGAAAGUUACAGCAUUUCUCGAGGAGCACCUCUUCAGACUGUUGAAUUAGCAUACAAACAGAAAGUCCUUUGUGUCAGAUUGUCUGCAAACCAAAUCUUCUAUUACAUGUCUUGUUGCAAAGCACACAAGCUUUUUUUUUUAAGUCGAUACCAACCAUUAACAUCUUAUUCUAUUUUUGAUUUAACCAGAUAACAGCAAUUGAGAUCGAGAUCUCUUUUACAAGGGUGACCUGGCCAAGAGGUCAGCAGCAUACGCCAAUAAUAAUACAAUUCAGAGACAGAACAAGUUCAAACAAACAAAUACCUGUGUAUCUUUUUAAUGUCUGUACUAGUUAAACUGCUCAUUCUGUCUACUCUUGCUUCUUCCUCUGCAAACAGCUUUGUCGCUGCUCUCCCUGCCUUCACCUUUCAUGCAUGCUCAUGCAACAGAUAUGAAAACCUGUUUGAGCAUUUAGGUCAGUCCCUGAUAUCAAGCAUUGAUUUGCACAGAUAUACUGCUUUUUUGUAGUUGGAUGCUGAACCCUCGGAUUUUAGCUCUCAGAACAAAGCCUUAACUAUUUUUAUGCAAACGUCCAAGUUAGACAUUUUUGCUCCUUUAAGUGUAUUUUUUAAGAUUUUUUUAAAAGACAAUGGUUAUUGUUCAUAUUUUAGUAACGUUUUCCCACUGUAACUGAACCUUCCCUCGUCCUUUUCUCUUUUUAUUAUUUUUUAAUCCAUUUUAUUUUUAAAAGUGAACUCUGACGUGAAAGGUGGAAAACCAUCUCAAGUCCUACAUUAAAAAAAGAAAAUUUGGCACAUCUUUGCCUUUUUGGAAUUUUGAAUUAAGGUCUGUACACACCAGGAGCAUUUUUUUUUGUGCAAUUAUUUCGGACGUCAAUAUUUUUUUCGAACCCGUAUCCUGUCAAUACAAGCAUUCACAUCAGCGACGUUUUCCUGUCCCGCAAUAUUGCGGCAUUUCAUUUUUGGUUUAGUUUUGCAUACUGUGUGUCCACUUCUGACCAAUCAGAUUGUGUGUUGUUGUAAUGUCAGAUUCACCAGUAUACCCAACAUGGCCGACCGGCUGAUUGUUGAUGUGUCAGAGAACAGAGUGCUUUUUGAUUAAAAAAAAAUUAAAAUACACAAAUAUUAAGAUAACGACUUAAGGGACAACUUGUCGGAUCUCUCAUAUGACGAUAGUUUGUGUGCUUUAACAGUUUGCUAAACGUCUUUGUUUUAACUUUCAUCUAUGCUAAGUAACUUUAGCUCGUAAGCUAACCUGUUCAGAUACAACAUACCAUAUGUAUUUUCACUGUCUCAAACUCAAUCGUGUUGCUGUCACAGCACCAUUAGGUCUCGGUUGUUACCUUAUGUUUAUGGAUUAUAGUUUAAUGUGUUUAUCUGGUACUGGCCCCGACUCAGUACAUGCUAUCAUGACAGACAGACAUCUCAACACUAGUGUCUAAUCAGAACUGAAAAACAGUCAGUCUGCUGUUGUGUCAGUCUUCUCGCUUUCACCCGGGACGUGUCUUUCUUCCUCCUGGAAAGUUGCAAAAUCGUAUCGCACUUGAUGUGUAUAGUCAGGCGCGUCAAAAUUCACCUCUGGAUAUUUUGGAAUUUCGCGUCAUAUAUUUGCGUCGUUCCCGGUGUGAAAGGACCUUUAAAUGUAAAGUUUCAAUGUUGGUAUAAUGUUUAUAGUGAGUCUAUUUCAACUGAUUUAUCUUUUUAGUUGUAUUUGUAAAUAAAAAAAUAAGCUUUUAGAUAGUUCAAACCCUCUAUACACUCAAGUUUGAUUGGACAAAUUCGUCUUUAAACAAGUGUUAAAAAAAUGUGAAACAUUUGCUUCCACCAUGACAUUUGGUUUGACUUUUCUCUCUCCAUCUUCAUACAUGACAUUCUGUCUCUCCAUAUAUCAGUGCAGUUGCAGCUGUUUAAUGUCUCAGCUGCUUUUAUCACCAUUAUCUUAAAAAAAAGCAUCAUAGCUUUGCUCACUUUUGGAUCAUUUUGUCCUGGACAUGGGCACGUCGACUGUCUGCUGUUGUGCAUUCUAAAGUCUAGACCAUGAACGAAAGAGGAUCCCACUUUUACAGCUAUACUUGAAGGGGAAAAGGUUGUAUAUUUGGGUCAGCACAACACUUUCAAGCCUCCUGAGCAAUUUUUCGUCAAUAAAUGCAGCAGCACCAAUAUCAAAACAUCUCUCAUAGUGUUUCUGAUUCGAGAAAAUUCACUUGGGGCAUCUACAAUCUAGUUAUUUCAGACAACAAGCCUUGAAAUGUGCUGUGGAAAAAGUGCACCACUCCUCUGUUCACCCACAUGUUCCCGUAAUAACAGGAGUCAAUAAAGAAGCAGUCAGUGUGUCUGUAUCAUGAAGGAGUCGUGGUUUUUGUUGCAGAGAAAGACAAGCCAACGGAAAGACUGUCCACGAGAUGGUUCAUAAUGGGUUUUUCAGUUAUGGUGAAGAACAUUAACUCUGAUGUCUUUUCUCUGCCUGUGUCUUCAGAUGCAUCUUUAUGUUUGCAUAUAGAAAGCUCAGGUGUGUUUGAGUGUGCGAGAGAGGAUCCUGAUAAGCUGCAGCAGUGCCGAGGUGUGAAGCUGUGCAUCUUAAUCCGCUCAGGUGAGCGUGUGAUGGAGCGCUAACACUCCGUGAACACUCUGAGAUGAAAACGCGGUGACAUGCUGCUGAGGUGUGUGUUUGAAGACGAGCCAGUGCAAUCUUUGCAUCAGCUCUGCAUCACAUUAUUCUGGAUUAUAAAGCAGAGGGGCUGAGGUUUGUUCCCAGCACAGAGCUCUAUGGAUUCUGCUUCAGCGUCUUUUAUGGAGCUGCUGGUACUGAAGAGCAUCACACCGAGAAGACCAUCAGAUCUGGUUUGGAAGUUUUAGAGGACGAUCAUUUGCAUGGUCGUGUUCACACUGUGCAUACUCCAGAAAUCAAUUUGCUUGUUCUAGUCUAACAUAAUGUGUCUGAUGGUGUUUACUGAUGCAUUUGAUGUUAAUUCUGCAUCUGUACCACUGUGGACUGUCUGUAAAAUAAAGCAAAGUCAAACACAUUACACAAUCAUGUCUUACUCUUGCAAAAUCAGAAAUGCUCUAAAAAAAAAAAAAAAAAAAGGUCCUUUCACACAGGAAGCAUUUUUUUUUUUUUACAUGCGUUUAUUUCGGACGUCAAUAUAUCUUUUUCGAACCCGUAUCCUGUCAAUACAAGCGUUCAAAUCAGUGACAUUUUCCUGUCCUGCGAUGUUGCAUAAUUUUUUUUUUUUGCAUCAUGGUCGAUUUUUCUAAAGUUUCGCAUACUGUGUGUCCACUUUUGACCAACCAGAUUGCGUAUUGUUGCGAUGUCAGAUUCAACGGUAUAUCCAACACGGCCGACCGGCUGAUUGUUUACGUGUUGGAGAACAGAGUGCUUUUUGAUAAAAGACACAAAUAUUACAAAAGGUAACGACCUGAAGGACAACUUGUGGAGUCAUAGCGUCGGAUCUCUUAUAUAACAAUGGUUUGUGUGCUUUAACAGUUUGCUAAACGUUAAAGCACAGCGAAAAUACAUAUGGUAUGUUGUAUCUGAACAGGUUAGCUUACGAGCUAAAGUUACUUAGCACAGAUGAAAGUUAAAACAAAGAUGUUUAGCAAACUGUUAAAGCACACGAACCAUCGUCAUAUGAGAAAUCCAACACUAUGACUCUCCACAAGUUGUCGUUCAGGUCGUUAUCUUUGUAAUAUUUGUGUUUUUUUAUCAAAAAGCACUCCGUUGAUACAUAAACAAUCAGCCGGUCAGCCAUGUUGGAUAUACCGGUGAAUCUGACAUCACAACAACAACAACAACAACAACAACAACAACAACAACAACAACAACAACAACAACAACAAAUCUGAUUGGUCAGAAGUGGACACACAGUAUGCAAAACUUUAGAAAAAUUGUCCAUAAUCCGAAAAAUUAAAUGCCUCAAUAUCGCAGGACAGGAAAACGUCGCUGAUGUGAUCGCUUGUAUUGACAGGAUACGGGUUAAAAAAAAAAAUAUUGACGUCCGAAAUAAUCGCAUGAAAAAAAACGCUCCCAAUAUGCAAGGAAGUGUCCAUUUUUGAACUAUCAGUUCUCUGUUUGGCUUUUCAUGGCGCUGAUAUCUGCAUAAAUUUGGAUCACUACUGGAAUCUAGUUGAUAGAUGGAGUAUAAAAUAGGGACAAGUCUCAAAAGAGAAGUCUUGGUCCUGAUUUGAUUUAGAUCUUUUCUUGCUAUACCGGAAAAAUCAGCCAUGACCCAUAAGUUAUGGAGCUGCCAAAUAAUAGCCAAUACUUUUUCAAGUUUUUGGAUAUACAGCUACAUUUAUUAUGCAACCUCUGCUGUGUGUAACAUCACAGUAGAACAAUAUCUUUUCUCCAGCAGACAAUCUGAUUAUAGCAGCACAUCUACAGAGUUGUAUUUUGAAGCUGUUGAAUUUGUUGAGUCAGGAUUGGGAGCCUCAGAAGGACCUAAUGUCCAUUAAAAAAAAAAAGAUGCGGCUUUAAAUUUAUUUACUUAUUCAUUUAUUUUGCUCUUUUUAAAGUCUCUGAUUCAGAUGCAGCUCCAUGCCGCCCUCCACCCUGAGCUGAUUGAGUUCUCUGAGAGUCUCCCAAAGCUGCCAAAUUAAUACAGGAGGACGGAAAUGCAUUAAAGGUAGAAAUUACAUUUCUAUUCAUGAAGCAGCAUCUCCACAGCUGAAUGUGAAUGUGAGUCUGAAGAGUCUCUGCUCAGCUUCAGAUGGUCAGUAGAUGCAAAGUUGAAGAAAUUAAGUGUGGUAAACUUUUCUGCAUCUUUUAUAGAAUUUUGAUCAAAAAUGAAGACAGUGGGAUUUGACUGGAGACAUACUGAACUGUGCAUGUGUUUGUAAGAAUCUGUUCUGCUGUGGACUGGACCCACCUGUGGAAGCUUUGAAGACUUAACAAGUUUAGCGUGGGUUUGUUUCGAGGUGUUUAGCGCUAAUUACCCACAUCCAAAUGAGAAAGACGGACCUCCAAUUAACUCAGAAGUCAGUCCAGAAUUUUUUAGAGUGCCUUUAAUGAACACUACUUGAACUCCAGAAUUCCUGAGAUGUCAGCGGAGAUCUCUUGGAUUCAUUAUUUUAAUUUUCUGACCCCUUCAAAACGAUGCAUGCUGAAAUUUUAAUGUGUUUGGGAUAAAUAAAUGAUGUGUUGGACAUCCAGGGCUGCAAACUCACAUCCCCUUAUUGGAAAAUUAGAGAGAAAAUUAUGGUGCUUUUGACGUCAGAAUCAAAUGUUUGCAGGAGAAAGGGGGGAGAAAAAGGUUACUCUAACUCUCAUGUUCAAUUAUUAAUCCAGGCUGUUGUUUAAACUCAACGGUGUCUUCUUCUGGUUUCAGAGCAUUGGCACAGAGACCCUUCAAAAGGCCCUCUGCCUCUCUCCUCCUCCUCCUCCUGCUCAAACUCUCUUUGAGGAAAAGCUCCCUCAUUGAUAUAACAUGAGCAGAGGACCCCCGCUGUUAGCCAUCACAGGUGUCACGGACAGGAGCGUAGUGGGAUUUCUGGAUUCAUGUCAGUACGGCACAAUGACGGCAGCUUCAAACACCUGUUCAUAUCCGGCCUGAGCGGACUUAUCAAGUCCCUAUUAAAACGCAGUCACUGGCGAUAAGCUCUGUUUUUGCUGCCUUGUUUGAUAUUUGCAUUUCAAAAAGAAGGCCGAGCACGAGCAGAAAGCGAAGUCAGAGCUACAGUCAGUGUUCCAAAAAAUGGAAAUCUGGUUCAAACCGAAAACAACCCUUUCGUUUGCUGCUUAAACUCUGCUGACUCUUCAAAAAUCAAACAAACAGUUACUCCCCCCUUUUGUUUCAUCUCUUUUUUUUUAUAAAACAAGAGAGAGGAGAAAUGAUGGCGCAGACGGGGGAAACCACAGAAAAAGGUCAAUCUGAAUACCAAAUAGGAAAUGCUGACUCCAGCUAGCUGUUUGUGGACCUAGAAAGAGGUAACAAGCUCCAGUUGAGGGCCCCACUGUCGCCAAGUCAGCCAUGCCUAUGACUAUGACUACAGUAAUAUUUAUAAUCUAAUUUACAAUGGGAAAAAAUUAAACCAAACCUGUUUUUCUAAUCAGGUUGCAAACUUGUUUGAAGCUUUGGUCUACGAUCUGAAAACCAGUUUGGCUGUUGAGACAGAUUUGAAAAACACAGCCUGCCCUCCCUUCACUCACCCCUCCCCUCCGUGUUCCAAGAAACCCCCUUUCUUUCUGAUCUUUAUAUUGCGUAGAUCGGACCAUAGGACCAUAACGGCCUUAUAAAUGGUGUUAUUAUGAAGUACCAAGUGUGGCGUGUGGUGUAUUUUGAGGACCCAGAAGCAGACAGCAAAUUAAGAUGUAAUUUUAAUGUCCAAACUCAGGGGUAAAGGCAAAAGAGAAAAUCUGGUUGGCUGACUGGCUGUUGUGUGGGCCAGAGACAUUGCGGAGAAAACAGAGGAGAUGGAAGUGAGUAGACAUACAAUGAAUCACAGGGAGCAAAGUUGCAAGCACUUAUUCAAAAGAAAGGCCAGAAGACACGUCUGUAUUACUCGGGAGUGAAGACAAUACUGAGGCGCUGAGACUGAGGGCUGCUGGCUUCUUAAAGUGCCUUGAUUGCAGAUUCAGCGCAGGUGUGGAGUCUCACUCAGCCUCAGCGACGGGGAGGGGGAGGGUGCUCUGGAAAAGAGUCAAGCCAGACCAGGAAAACGAAGAAAAAUAAGAAGUAGGUCACUUUUUCUUUUAUUUUUAGUAUUAUUUUUUGCCCUUGUCUUUACAGUUUUUUUUUUUUAUAACUUUCUCUUUUUUUUUAAAUAUAUAUUUUUUACUCUUUUACAAUUGUUUUCUCUACUUUUUCUUACUUUAUUUUCUUCUAACUUUUUAUUUUAUUUGUCUUUAUGCAGAUUGUUGAAAAAUCCAUAUCUUACAUUUUACUCCCUUUCUUUUUCAUAUAAAAAAAAAUGUAUAUUUAUCUUUUUGUCUGCAUUUUAUGAUUAUCUAGUUUUCUUUUACUUUCCUCUUGUUUUUUUUUAUUUCUUCUUUUAUUCCAGUUUCUCAAUUACCUCCACUGGAGUGCAUUCAUACUUUUUUUUUAAAUCUUUUCUCAGGAAAACAGACAUGAAAGUCUUCAGGUGAUUAUGCAGAGAGUAACUGAAGCUGUGCAAAUAAACCUGAGCAGUCAGAGGGAUGAAUAAACUCACUGGUCAGACUACAAACAGGCUGGAAAUGGGUUCUUUGGGUGUCUCAGUGUUUGCACGAGAGCUUUUGAUUUCGUGGAACCAUAAGAACCUUUUAUAUCUGCAUAGCAUAAAUAAUUUGGCCUCCAAUUCCUUUAGACAUGACUGUUUGCAGUGAGAUUAACAGAAUAUCUGAGCCUGACUUCAGAUUUACCCCGCAGGCACUGAAUUAAUUGCGGUAAUUCAAAGGGCAGUAAUUUGCUGCUAAGACUGGAGAUUUACCAGUUUUAAAUGGUUUACAAUCUCAUUUUUCAUUUAUAAUAAAGUGUUUUAUCAAACAGAUCAUUUCUUAUUCAGUCCAACGUAUGAGUAACUUGUGUAUUUCCAUUUAAUUCCACUGUGAAUUUUCACUGUUUGGAUGUUUCCCUGCUCCAACACACCUGAUUCAAAUGAUCAGCUCGUUAUUAAGCCAUCACAGAGCUUGAUAACGAGCUGAUCAUUUGAAUCAGGUGUGUUGGAGCAGGGAAACAUCCAAAACAUGCAGGACCACUGGAACACUGGACUAAGGUAAAAUUCCAGCCUAUAGGAGGGUAAUUUGAUAAGUUCACAGUGUACAUAGGUGUGGUUUGUCUGUGGAAACCUGAUGACCUCAUUUAACUCACCUGUGUCUGUCUGCACACCUGCUCUUCAUUAACUCAGCAGUAUAAAUACUCUGCAGCUGCAGCCUCCUGUAACUCAGCUUUUGGGGCAGACGUUUGCUUCAACAGUCUUUGUAUACCUGGUGUUUUAACUAGGGUGACCAUACGUCCUCUUUUACCCGGAUAUGUCCUCUUUUAUUUAUCUGGGGAAGUUUAUAAAAUCCUUCAAAUGUCAGGAGUUUUGUAGGGAAGUUUUGAGUUUGUGUAGGCUGGACUGAGUUAGAAGCGUGUAAAAAAAUACACUCAACCCGACCCGAAAAACCCUCAAAAUUCUGGUCACUCUAUUUUAAAUGCUCUUGUUUAAUAUGUCUAAUACAGCAUUUCUAUCUGCCUGUCUCCUUUUAAAAGAAUGAACUAUUUCAAUACAUUUUUGGUCCCUAUAUCCUCAUACAGAAGCUUUUAAAACAGCUCAGAUCCUUGUAAAAAUGGUAGACCCUACUGUUGCUUUAUGGAUAUUGAGUCGAUUAGAAAGCAAAUUCAGACAGUGGUGGUGUGGAAAUUCAGCUUAAGUGAAUAAACACCCUUGAAGAAGUGUAUCAUUGGAUUAAGGUGGAUACUAAAUCAUUACAUGAAUUAGUAAUUCUCUGUGUAAAUUCUGGACUUUGUCACAUAAAGAGAAGUGUGUGUGCCUUUAGACUCCAUGUACUCCCUGUUUUAAUCCUCCAAUCGUUCAUAGAUCUCCCCUCUCUGCUCAUCUAUAAUUCAGAGCAAGUGCGCUCCCUGACACCACGCAAUUAAUUAGUCUUUUUGUUCAUUAAAGGCUCAGCUUUUAGAAGACCAUCAUGUUUUAUUUUAGUUUUAAUUACUUUGUGCUUUGGCAGCUUUCUAUUUCCAAGAUUUAUGUUCCUCAGGUCCCGACCACCAUCCAAUUAGAGGCAGAUCUGUGUGUUUAUGAGGAGGGGAGAGGAGCAGCGAGUGUGGCGUUCAAAGACUGUGACUCCCGUUCGCUUCACAUGUGAUGUAAUGAGAUUAGCAUAGUCUUUGAAAUGAUCGUCAGUUCCUGCGGGUCAAUUGAUUUGCCAUUCAGUUUUAAAGCACCCAGAGGCUCGUAAUGUGUGAGUGUGAGCACACACGCCGUUAGAUCUGUGUGCAGUCUGCAGGGAGGCUGUUGGCAACAAUCAGACAGAGUUAGACAAAGAGAUAAAAACCCACAUUAUCGUCACUCUGAUGAAUCAAACCACAAAUAAUAGUCCUCAGACAGAUUGUUAUGUUUUAAUGGAGAUUAUGGGAACUAAGGGCUGCUGGAAUUUUUAAAAAAGACACAAAAAAAGAUUAUAAAACUCUGCCAAAAACAUCAGCCUGGUGUUCUCAGACUCCUUAAAUCUUAAUUUUGAAAAAAGUAAAACAUCAACUUUGAAACAUUUUCAUCAAAAGCAUUUCGAAGUGUCUGCUGUCUGUUUUUAAAGUCCCAUUUAACAGGACAGAUCCUCCCUUAACCAAUGUUUUUAAGUCAAUCUGGACCCAGUUUAACUUAAAAGAAGAGUCGGGGGCCAUUUUAAGGUACGAUUAGAUUAGAUUUGACAGGGUUAGGGUAAGUGUUUAUUAAUCCUUUUGGGAAGGUUUCCUCAAAGUUCAGGUACCCUUAUAAAAUUUGAGGGGCUUUUAAGCAACAAAUCUCAGGUAUGCUUUUAAGGUUGUUUUGCAAAAGUGGUUGGAUCAUUUUAACAGUUUUUUCUUGAGUUUUUGCCUGUGUAUUAGGAUAAACAUUAUGAAUGUUUCAAACUGUCAUUUGGACACUAUUUUAAUUUACUAUUUUCCCAGCAACAAAGUGAAGUUCUGUUUUCAGCAUUUUGAGACACCCUCAACAGUUUCUCUAGAGGUACACUUCUGAAACUCAGUUUGGACUGCUUUGAAGUACUGUUUGCAGUAAAUUUUGAGGUACCACCAAGGUACCCUUCAAAAACGAGAGCUGGGGAUACACUUACCCCCAAUUUCUACCGCAUGUGGAAUGCCAGCGGAAAAGCUGUCGGCAUCAACCGCAGCUGAUCGUUUCCAUUCAAGUUAAUGUGUCAAUUUCCACCUGCUUCUAUCCAGCCCCCUGCGGUUCAGCGGGCUUCGUAGCCAAUCGCCAGGUUUCUACUUUAUCCGGACACUACAGCAUGCUGCAUAAAUUUAGCACAGAUUAACCCGUAUUGUAAAGGAAGUCAAGCACAGAUGCAAAAUAAAACAUUCGGCUUCUUGGGCGGGGACGAACAAGUCAAAGGUUUUCAGACUUCAUGUCUAGUCUAGAAGUGGAUUUCCUCCUCUGGAAGGACACAAUCUACUACUUAUGUGGUUAUGUGGCUGUUUUUAUAAAGACAACUCAUUAUUGUGCAAUUGCAUUUGAAUCUGAAGGUUCUUAUGAGUUCUCGCGAUUCCUGCUGUCCAAAAUCCGCAAAAGAAAUUCGCCUCACAAACACAUCUGGUAGGAAUUGGCGGAUGGCGAAAAUCACUACCAUUCCACAGCUAAGCCGUUUCGUAUGCAGUGAAAAUUUGGGGGUUGGGCAGAUUAUAAGUACUCUUAAGUCUGGUUUUAGAUACUCUGCAUGAAACUCAUGGAGCUAUGAACAUUUCUUUUUGGGGUCAGUAUGAAGCAGUUAUAAGCAAAGUCUUUUUAGUAACCCCAUGGUGACUGCUCAAAAGUUCAGUUUGCAAACAGUUGAAGGUCUCCUGAUGUUGUUACCUUUGGUGUUUGUUCAAUGAUAUCCACGGUUUUGAUUUUAAGGUACCCUAGGGCCUCUGUUUUUGAUUAGAAAAUUAUGAGGUACCGUCCAGCACCUGUUUUUCAAGUACCUGUUAGAUCAUUGUCGAAUUCCCUCAUCUCAUACGGUCAUUAAUUGGUCAUCCCUUUGUGAGAUCAUUAAAAGAAUCUCAGAAAAAAAGAUCAUGACAGGCUUCUGAACAAAGAGAAGAGUCUGACACAUUUAAUUAAAGCAUUUCUAAAACUGACGGCACAUUUCUUUCAAACUCCCUCUCGUAGAACAAAUGUUGCUCUAUUUUCACUCCCACAUCCCGCUGAAAUAAUUCCCUUGUUGUUUUGGACUGUGCUUGUUUUUAAGGGCCAGUUAAUACUUCAUAAAAACAGUGUGAAGCCAAACCCGUGGCCUUUCAGUGACUGUCUGCACUUGUUAUGUAUUAAAGGAGAUUUCACAGUCUCAACCCACUCAAGGAAUUAAAAAUAACAUGCAGCCUUUUGAAAAAUUCACCUUUGCUGCUGGAAAUGAGCUGCGUUUUCCAGCUGUGAAGAGGAUGGCAAUCCAGACCUAACAGGAUCCAAACCUGAAAUUUCCGCAUAAAGGUUUCCAGCAUGCCUUCUGUUUAUCGUCCCCUCAGCAGCUCUUUUUGCCUAACAUGGCGUAAACGUCCCGCUCCGCCGCCUCUCGCCCUCGUUACUUGAACCUAAAGUGUCACUUAACUCGACUCUCAAAGCUGCUCAGGUGUCUCUAUCAAAGAGGGACGGCUCCUGAAUACAAGGGACCACUUUUAAUUAUUCCUGCAGUCAUUAAGGCUUGAUGAACUUCAGAGCGAGCUCCACUAAACAUCUGUGUCCCGGUGGUGAAGAGACCGAGUGGCCAUGUUUGACUAGUCCCCCUGGAGGGCUGAGUGAAGCCAGAAUACAACUGGAGUCAGAGAGUAACAAGAGCCUGAAAGAGGGCAGACAGGAUGAAUUCGACUUUUUCAAACAUGCAAGAGAUCCUCAGAAACAUAAACUGUAUUUGAAGGAAGAUGUAUGUCUCUGUGCAGGGGCGACUUAUCUUGUACAAGGCGCUCAGUUUGACAGGUAUUAUCUAUCUGUCUGUCUGAACUGUUCAGACCCAAGGGUACAAAAUCCACAAUUCACCACUUCCUCUCCUGACUCUACUGAGUUUAUUGAUACUUCUCAAGACAAGGUUACUGUUUUUUCCUCUCUCAGAGUUAGGUAGAAACCAGAGUCCUUAACUGUUGUUUACAAGCUUAUCUUUCAUUGUGCAAUAACAUUUGAAGAGUAUUCUAUAGGUGAACUUUUCUGUUUGAGAAGGCAGCGAGCUGCAAAAGAUGUCCAAGUUUCUAGUCCCAUCCUGGCUCAGGGUUUGGGAUCCAAUGUUCUGAGGCUCAGCAUGUUUCCUUCUGAUCUCCAACUGAAAGAUUUCUAAAGGAGCCAAGGUCAAGAACAGAUUGCAGUUAUUGUCCCAAAUGAUGCCAAAAGUUAAUGAGUGUUAAAAACUUCUCAAAAAGGCAGAAAAAGGUGAAGCUGAAAUUGUGUUAAAUGAGUGUUGAGAAGGCAGUACGUCCAUAACUAACGGUGCGUUCCAGUUGUACUUGGAAGUCGGGUCAAGAAAUUCAUCUGGAACGCUCCUUUUGAAGUCGGAUUUUGGACUCGGAAAGUUGAACCAUCCUCACCACCCCUGACUUGAUGACAACGUCAUAAUCCAAGAUGGCAGCGCAGUGCAUCAACAGUAAAGAGUAACAGUGAAAGUUCUCGUAAUGUAUUAUUUAUUAGCACUUCUGUUUUGUUUUUGUGAAGUUAAAUAAGUGUUAUAUGUUUUACUUCCCAACAUCUAACUGUGAACACAGUGCUAUGGUGUUUGUAAGGGUAAAAUACUGUCGUAUAUGUUGUUUACAACUGGUAUCGCUAACAACAGCUAACUACAGCUAAGAAUAGAAUAGAAUAGAAUAGAAUAGAAUAUUCCUUUAUUGAUCCCCCAUGGGGGAAAUUUUUUUUUUGUCACAGCAGCAUCACAGACAGAGUGCAAAAAUGCAGUUAUAAAAAUAAAGAUCCUAAUAUUAAGAACUUAAAUAAAUGUAAUAAUUAAGAAAAAAUUUAGAAAAAGGAAAAAGGGAGAAGAAAAAUAAAACUAUCUACAAUAUACACAAUUUAAAUGCCAGAAAAAAAUGGUGGUGUAAAUCCAGUUAUUAUUACAGUUCGUUGUAAAGUCUUAUUGCAGAGGGGAGGAAUGACCUGCGGUAGCGCUCCGUCUUGCAAGGUGGAAGUCUCAGUCUGCUGCUGAAGGAGCUGCUUAAAGCCCCCACAGUCUGGUGCAGUGGGUGAGAGGGAUUGUCCAUGAUGGAUACAAGCUUUGUUAACAUCCUCCUCUCACCCACCUCCUCCAGGGAGUCCAAAGAACAGUCCAGGACAGAACUGACCCUCCUGACCAGUCUAUUCAGUCUCUUCCUGUCCCUCUCACCCACUGUCCCUCUCGGUGCUCCCUGCCCCCCAGCAGACCACUGCAUAGAAAAGUGCAGAUGCUACCAACUACGGCUAACAGUAGGCGUCCAUUUUGGUUUUUCGACUUGUUUACUGGAACGCUGUCAACUCGGGUGGAACGCAAUUCCCAGCUCAGACAUCUGACUUCAGAGGUAACUGGAACGCAGUAUGAGACCCACAACUAGGCAGGAUGCAGACUGGAACCCAGAACGUUAAAAAUGGUCCCACGUGACGAGUUGUCUUUUCUUCUUCUAGGCACUGCAGACCUCAAAACAGUAUUUUACAAAUGCUCCUGCAACAAAGACACAGACUUCCUCGACAUUAUUUCACCUCACAUGUAUUUGCCAUAAUCCUCUCAUUGGUUUGUACUCACCACUCUACUGAGGAAUGCUUUUACACAUGGGUGGGUGGGUGUUGUUCUUCAGUGGUCUAUCCUUACUAAGUUAUGCUGCCAACUAUAGGCUUUGCAUGGAAACUUCAGUGGAUGGGGGUCAUUCUCACAACAAUGUCCUCUUCUUAUUUUUGCAGAUUUUUCUUAAACACAAAGAAAAGACUUUUCCUUUUCCAAUGAAUGAGUCACUCAAAACCAAACUAUGUUGAAGUUGUUGAAUUCUUCUCAAAUUGCUCACCAAAUGUCGAAGUCUUUAUUCCAAAGUUUGCCAUGCAGGAAAUCUGUUGGUUACAAGUUAAUUCCAAUGGCUGUCCUUCUUCACAUUCACAAUAAAUCAUCAUACUGGAACAAAAUAAAAAAAAAUAAAUAAAACGGGCCUGAAAAGCGAGAAGUAAUACAGUGAAAACAGAUGGUUGUUGUUCUGGGUUAAAUCCUCCACAGUUUGUCUCCAUUUAUCAAAACUGGCAACUUUUCAGAGAUUCAAACCAUCAUAUUUCAAGAAAGUACAAAUUAAACUGGUGUUGGAUCAAAUUUACAGUCUGAACUGGCCUGAACAUUUGUCUCUGGGGACUGCACGAUCCCAAGAGUUACUAAAUUCUGUUAGCAAAGUUUAAAAAGAGAUAUCUUCUCUCUUUUAGCCCCGCGUGAACAGCGAGAGGAGUUUUCAUACCAAACUGAGACUGAACAGAGUGUGUUGGUAAUGAUUUCAGUCCUGAGCUGAAUUUUCCUGCAUUCAGAUCAAAGCAGCUCCUCCAAUCACAGCUCUUUGAAACCAUCAAAGACGCACAAUUAAAAUGGAGCAAACUUUGUGUUGUUUGUGUGUGUGUGUGCGUUUCUUUUCUUUUGUCAUCAGGCCUCAGAUCUGAUAUCUAUGUGGUGGGGAAACAUGUGGGAUGGUCAGAGAGAGAGAGAGAGGGAGGGAUGAAAGCAGGAGACACAUCUGGUCAUCUGCAGAGUUACGCCUCCCUAAGGAGCUCCUCCGAGCAGCUCCUCCAGCUCUUGCUACCCCUCUCUUAAUUAGACAGGUAGUCUGAGAGGCUCAUUUGCAGGUCAGAUUCACUGGAACUUGUUUGAUCCACGACGGCCUGCAAUGUCAGGAUACAGAAAUGAAACACCUCCAUGCAAAACAGGCCGAAAUUGGAGGUUUUGCUCAUUAAUUUUGGCUGGAUGAGGCGUAGGUCGUGUCAGAGGGGAUUGUUAAAUAUUUCCCUGAAUAUAAAUCAGCUCCGACUCUCCUGAAGCUUUGACUCUCUGCACAGUUUUGUUUGUCAGAUAAAGCAGAGUAUGAUAUCACAGCGUCUUGCCUGCGCUUUCAUUAGUAUGCCAUCAAAGCAGCGUGGACACAAGGCCACAGUCAGGCUGAAUAAUAAUCGCAGCGAGGCGCUUUCAUGCAAACAGGGCGCAAAGAAGCUAUAAUGCUGUGCAAACAUGCCAAAGGUGUCAUCAGGCCUACUGCACAUCUUCUGUACAGUUAAUUGAAAGUAAGACCUCUCCUGCAUGGCAAACACCUCUUUGUGUGCACACUGUUAUUAACGCACAUCUUCAUCCUCUCAGGCAGACAGAAAACAGCUUUACUGCUGCAUAUGCUGAAAAUAUUUGGUGUAAUUUAGAUUUUUAAAAAAGCGCUUUCUCUGGUCUGAUAAAAUCAAAUGUUAUCAGGAGAUUGAAGGCUUUUCUCGUGCAAGCAAUGACGUUAAAUAAACACUGUGUCUAUUAAGAGGGCCGUCCUCUAUCAGCCACAUGCAGAAGAGGGUAAACAAGAGAGCUCUUAAACUUUUAUCUGAUUUUCAUUUCAACACAAUUCACUCCCAAUUAUGCGCAGAGACGUUUUUAGAUCCAUAAUUUAGAGAUUUAUCUGCAGUGUGUCCAUGAAUUAAAUCCAGUUUUAUUCUAAAAGCAUUCGAGGCUGUAAAAAGCACUGCAACGUGUCACAAACAAGUUAUUCAUCACUUCUUUUGGAACAAAAUAUACUGAAUUUGUCCAUAUUUCCUCACUAAUCCUUUAAUCUUCUUUUUCCACAACUAUCACAGUCCCCAGUCUUGAAAAAUCACUUGCAGUCAAAUGCAUCUAUAAAUCUACCUGUAAAACGACUAUAAAUUUACAAGAUCCCGCAAAAGCAAGCCUUAUGUACUGCCAAUAAGACUGAGUAUCAAACUCUCAUGUUAUGAAAUUUAAUGACUUGUUUUAUCACAAAGCAACACAAAUAACGUUGAGAGCAAAAUCAAAAUCCCUUACUGACUCUGUGCGAAAGUCCGUUCAGUUGAGGUCAGGCGUCUGAGUGUGCACUACAAAAGCUAAAAAGGGAUUAAAUGAAGAUGUGUUCUGGUUGGGGAUAAAUUCAGGAAUGAUGAUGUUGGAUUAAAUAUCUUUUAGUUUUCAAACAAAUACCGAACAAAUACUACGACUGCUAUUCAUGCCGCUUUCGAAUGUGACGCUUCCCUAAAUCCCUAAGUCUGGACCUGCUGACUUUAGUUCAGCUGUGACUAUUUGACUUUUUUAUUUACAGUAAAAAGUUGUUCUGGUUGCUGUAAAUGUCAUGAUCUUGAUCAUCUUGACUCUUGAUGGUGGAAUGGUCUCUUACAGGACUCAAAUUUAGCCCGAAUUUUCUUACCUUUAAAGUCGGGCGUCUCAUCUAUAUUUCAUGUUUUACUGGUCAAACGUUCCUGCUAAUGAGAUAAACCCAUAGACUGUAUAUAGAUUGGAUGCCGUUUGCCUCCAUGCUGAUGGAAGCCACCAUGAGAACAGCACCCUGUGGUGACUGGCUGCAGUGUAAGUCAUUAAUCCCGCCUCCUCCAGCAAUCCCUAUGGAGCUGUGGACAAACUUUAGAAAUGUAUUACACAGAAUAUAAUUUCUUCUCCCCUCUGCUUGCGAUGUUAACAUGUAGUUACUGUAAAGGUCCUCACACACCGGGACUGUUUUUUCCUGCGAUUAUUUCGGACGUCAAUAUAUUUUUUCAAACCCGUAUCCUGUCAAUACAAGCGUUCACAUCAGCGACGUUUUCCAUCCUGCGAUAUUGCAGCAUUUAUUUUUUCAUAUCACAUAUGUCUAAUUUUCUAAAGUUUGGUCAGAAGUGGACACACAGUAUGCAAUCAGAUUUUGUGUUGUUGCAACGUCUGAUUCACCAGUAUAUCCAACAUGGCAGACCAGCUGAUUGUUUACAUGUCAGAGAACAGAGUGCUUUUUGAUAAAAGACACAAACAUUACAAAGAUAACGACCCGAAGGACAACUUGUGGAGAGUCAUAGUGUCGGAUUUCUCAUAUGACGAUGUUUUGUGCGCUUUAACAGUUUGCUAAACGUCUUUGUUUUAACUUUCAUCUGUGCUAAGUAACUUUAGCUCUUAAUCUAACCUGUUCAGAUACAACAUACCAUAUGUAUUUUCACUGUCUCAAACUCAAUCGCGUUCCACCAGGGACGCACCUUUUUUCCCCAGGAAAGUCGCUAAAUCGCAUCGGGCUGGAUGUGUAUAGUCAGGUGCGUCAAAAUUCGCCUCUGAAUAUUUCGUAAUGUUGCGUUGUAUAUUUGCGUCGUUCCCGGUGUGUAAGGAACUUAAGUCUGGUUUGUGCUUAAGUCCUCUUUUUUUCUUUGAAGCUCCAUUUUUAAAAGUUAUUAGGGGGUUCACGUUUCCUCUGAUUGACACUUGAUACAGCCUAUGGGUGUACGAUGAUUGCGUAGCUCACCCGGGAAUACGCUGUUUGAGCCAAGUGUCACCACAGGGACUCUCAGCGACUCUCCCACCGAAUGCGUACAACGCUAUUGUGGAAGUGGUGGUUCGGCUUCAAAUUUGUACAAUGACGGAAGGUGGCACCAACUUGUCCAAAGUAUAUACAAUCUAUGGGUAAAACAAUCUUAAAAAUAGCGCUCAGUCUACAUGUGCCCACUCUCAAUGAGUUACGGCGACUUGUUGGACAACUAUUCUCGUCCUUUUUCUUAGCCUUGGAUCGUUGACUCAGACUUGUAAUUUGUAACUCACCUGGUUUCUGUUAGCUCUCUGAAAGCGCAGAAAUAAUGAGUUUCUGCAGAAAUAAAAAAGAACAGAAAAGGUUGCAUAAAAGGCUGACACAGCUGAGAACACACAGAAAACCCUGACAAACUUCAUCAACACAGAAUGAAAAUAAAUCCUAAACAAACGAAGGAAAAAAAAUCCAACUGCACAUUUCCUGUCGAGCAUCAAAAGUGCUCUCUGUAACCUCUCUUCAAUAAAGCUAUUCAUCAGUGUCAGGGCUGUGCUCCGGUCCCUGUCAACACCGCUUCACCUUCACAAGAUAAAAGAUGCUCGUUUUCUCUGUCAUUGUCUCGCUAUUGAACGCAGCCCGCUCCCUCCAUGGGUCGACCUUGGCCUGCUGCAGCCUACCUGAGGUCAGCCUAUCAUCACACAGCCAGGACGUUUAGCCAGUCUAGGAAAACACUCUCCACUGCCUGAACGCUGGAGUCCAGAGAUAACACCAGAAAACGCUAAAUGAGCUGCUUUCUUUCUGCAGACAUGUACCUGACUUCAGCUCAAUCAAUCAGAGCUGUGAGGGACUUUAAGCCGCAGCUAUAUCACUAAUCCGCAGCUACAAGCGCCGCAGCAUUAAGAUGAAUCUGCUGCAAAUUGGAUGUUGCAGAGGGGACAAUGCUAUCUGCGCUCCAGGGUUAGAUUGCUUCUCAACUGUUCCUCAUUAGAGCACAAUCGCUUCGGGCUUCUCACCGGACAGGCAGGCUAUACGAUGCUGUUAAGACUAGAGGAUCCACGGGGCAGAAAUUAGAGGCCGUUCACCAGCUAACACUCUGAAACACAUUAGCGGGAGACAAGCACAGUGAGACAGAAGGACCUGCUGAGCGGCUAAAAGCAAACAAGACACUUUAAAGUGGGAGCGAGUGGCUUUGUUUGUUCCUCUCUAAAACACCAGUGAAUUCUUUUAGAGGUCUAAAUGCUCUAAUAGAUAGAAAGACAGCGGCAAAGUAACACAAACUAACAUUAAAUUCUGUGGAAACUAGUUUGAUCAAAAGUUCUGGCAAUGAAGAAAAUAGGAAAACAGCAGCUUAACAGGUUUUUUAGCUGAGCGGGCUGUGAUGGAUCAAAGGCGAUUUGAUUAUAUGAACUGCAGGCUAUGGCUGGAAUAACAUCCCAAAACAUCAUCUUAAAUCAGUUUAUCAUCUACUCACUGAAAAGAUGUCAACUAUUUUUGUAUAGCUCCAGCCUGCAGCCACAAAACAGGCUGCAAAGGCUGCCAAAUAAAGUCCAACAAGAACACAAACCAACUCACAAGUAGAGGUAUACCAGCAACUCUUGUGCCCUGUGAGGUUUUUAUUGUGUGACAUUACAAAUUAUUGUACAAGGAUGUAUUCUGUUACCUUUAAAAGUGGUCUCAAUUUCAAUUUCUACAAAUAAAGGCAGAGGUAGACCAGCAACUCCCAUGUCCUGUAGGGUGCUUAAGCUCUGCUUGGACUGUUUCUAUGUUUUUGUUAAACAUAACUUUGAAAAUUAUUGUACUAACAGUUAUUCUGUUACUUUUAAUAGUGGUUUAAAUUUCCACAUAUAAAAGCAGAAGUAGAUCAGCAACUCCCAAGUCCUGCUUGGACUGUUAUGUUUUUGGAUGACAAAAAUUUGCAAAUUGAUUUACAAAGACUUAUUAUUUAAGCUUUGAAAUGGUAUUUAUUUUUACUUACAAACUCACGUCAAAGCAGAGGUAGACCAGCAACUCCUGUGUUCUUGGGCUUAAUUACCGGGUUUUGUCCCAUUUGGAUGGUUUAAUAUCUUUUUCUGUUAUCCUGUCAGCUUUGAUCAGGACUUUUAUAUGAAACGAAACAAACCAACCAACUAAUCGAAGCAACUAGACCAGCAACUCCUGUGUUCUCUUGAGUUCCUGUUUUUGUCAAUGAAGUUUUGUCUCUUUGAAGACAAUUAUGCUAUCUCUAUUUCUCAACAAAAUCAACAUGAAGAGUCUAAAAAGGGUCUACCAAUGAGACACUGGGAGUUGUUUCAAAUGUUUCGAGAAGUGAUUGCCAAAAUCCCCAACCAUCAAACCCCAAAUAAAAUUGUAAGACAGUGGUGACCCCUGAUGUACUUUUAGAAACUAUAUUUGUAUCUAUAUUUUCAUAACAAUAAAGAAAAAUUACAAUUUUAAAUAAUUUUGAAACCCCCUCUUUAUUUUCAUUUUUUAAGACACUGUGAUGCCUCUCCUUCCCACGUCAGUGUCUUGUCUUCUUUUAAACACAUCCAUCACUGACAUAAGCAUAAAGAAUAGAAAACCCAUCAAGGCAGCGAUACACCGACAACUCCUAUAUCCUUUAAGGUAGAAGAUGAUCUGAUGUUAAUGUAAUGCAGUGUCAUAAAAAGUGGUGGAACAGCUGUUUCUGUUUUUUUUUUUGUUUUUUUUCUUAAAUCCUCUUAAAUCACCAAAAGCUCAAUUUCUGAAGGGAUCCUUUCUGAAAUACCAUCGAACUCCUGAGAUAAUAAUCUUAACCCUUUGAUGCGCAACAUAUCCACACCCCCUCUAAUGCGCAACAUGGGUCUAAAAAGACCCGCAUUCAUUUCCAAUGGUAUUUCAUGCUGGCUGAGUUUUUCUUUGUUCUAUCUUUUGAAAUAAGUUUAUUUUCUGAUUGAAUAUUCCAAGUAUUCUUUAAAUAUCUUGUUUUUGAUCACCACUGAUUAUUAUUUCUAUUUUUCUUUUCAUACUUUUUGAAAUAAUAUAGUUUCUAUAUUAUUACAUCAAGUUUACACACAUGGGUCAAAAACGACCCAUUCAUCCAAGUGUGAUUUAAUAUUGAAUUACCUAACACUAUAAUAAUAAUUUGUUUCAAGUAAUGAAAUUAGCAGAGAGUGGGGCCAAACCAUAGACUGUAUAUACUAUGGACAACUUGGUUCCGUCUACCGCCUGUGUACCGAUUGGAGCCAAAAAGCUCUCGGUAUUUCCGGGACUUUUCUACAUUUCUGAAACCAGAGCUGCGCAGUUGCGAUGCGUGCAUUCGGCCGCGCAGUCGCUGAGAGUCGCUGUGAUGACGCUCGGCUCAAACAGCGUAUCCCCGGAGAGCUACGCAAUCCCUGAACGCCCAUAGGCUGUAUCCAUAGACUGUAUAUACUAUGGACAACUUCAUUCCGCCUACUGCCUGUAUACAGAUUUGAAGCCAAAUAGCUCUCGAUAUUUCCAGGAUUUUUCUUCAUUUCCUGAAACCAGCGCUGCGCAGUAGCAAUGCGCGCAUUUGGCCGCACAGUUGAAGAGAGUCGCUGUGAUGACACUCGGCUCAAACAGCAUAUCCCCCGGGAGAGCUACGCAAUCCCUGAACGCCCAUAGGCUGUAUCAGGUGUCAAUCAUAGAAAACAUGAACCCCUAAUAACUUUUAAAAAUGGAGCUUCACAGAAAAAAGAGGACUUGAGCACAAACCAGUCUUACAAUAACUACAUGUCAACAUCACAAUCAGGAGGGAGAAAAAUGUAUAUUCUGUGUAAUAAAUUUCUAAAGUUUGUCCACAGCUCCAUAAGCUUUGCUGGCGGAGGUGGGAUUUAUGACCUAUACUGCAGCCCAUCAACAGAGGGUGCUGUUCUCGGAGUGGCUUCACCCAGCGAGGAGGCAGACACUGUCCAUUCUUUAUACAGUCUAUGGGCCAAACACUUUUGUAUUUUGUAUUAGCAACAUGUUUAUUUGUCAUUUUGUCACAUACACAUGCGUCUGAUUAUAGCUAGCUGAAAUAACGCUAGCUGUUUUACCUGUAACUGUGUAACUUUCCAACAUAUAAUGUCCUCACUCUCAAGGUAACCUAAACCUAAUCAAAUCAAAUCUAUGUACAAUUAUAUUUCACAACUGUCAUCAAAUAAUUUAAAGAUAAUGUCAGAACAAUUGAAAAACCAUACUUACAUGUAUUAGACGGUCUUUUCAUGCUAAAUGCUACAGUCACUGUAUGUGGGUCGUUUCUGACCCAUGUAUGUAAACUGUAAAAAACUGUGCUUCCUCAUAACGUAAGAAAGGAAAAAUAAAAAUUAUUAUUUGUGCUCAACUAAAACAAUAUCUUUAUUGCAUACUUGGAAUACUAAAUGAUAAAAUUAAUUUAUUUCAAAGAUAUACCAUAGAAACACUCAGCCAUACAUGAAAUAACAUUGAAAAUGGAUACGGGUCAUUUUAGACCCAUGUUGUGCAUUAGAGGGGUAGUGAUACAAAAACGGUUUUUCUUCUAAAAGUAAAAAAAGAAAAAUUAACAAAAGGAUGUAGGGUCGUCAAAAACAAGUUAAUUGAGGAAUUCCUUGAGUACCGACUGAUGGAAUUAAUUUUUUGAAAAGAUAUAUAAAAUUUAAACUCAGCCGGGUCUUUUUUGACACAUGUUGCGCAUCAAAGGGUUAAGAUAAAAACACAACCUUUUAACACAUCCUUUGAACUAUUUUGCAGCCAUUACAGCCAAUCGUACUGUUGCUCUCUGAAAUAUCUGCUGUAAAAAUGCUGUAGCUUUGUCUAUUAGGUCAUUCAGAUCCCAGAUUGUAUGUUAAUGGGACCCUCAGAUCAUACGCUUUAAACACACUGUGUUUGCAAACCUCAUAUAUACAAAAAUGUCAAUCCCUCAAUGGGAAAAAAUAAAUAUCUGAAGCCACAAUAGCCUGAAACAUCGGCUUUAUUUGCAUGUAUUCAAAAUCAUUUGGAAAAAUCCUGUUUGCAUGUGUCUUAAAUCAAUGAAAGGCUCUUACAGACUGUGCUAUCCCCCCCUCUGUGUAAACUCCCUGGACUCUGCCCCCUCCUCCCCCCCCUCACAGUGCGAGGAAUCCCAGUGAACAUGGCGGAUUUCACACAGCGUAUUAGCGGCGAGUCUUAGAGAGUGAGAUUAUUUAUACAGAGGACACUGACAGGAGGACUGGGAGAGGAAGAGAAAGGGAUGACAUCCACUAAAGAUCAUGAAUCACAUCCUGAUCUCUAACAGGAUUAUACGGUCUGACUGCGGCUUUCAGAGCCAGCAGAGCGAAGCAGCAAUGAUGACACUGAAGCUUAUGAUGUUAGAGUCGAGCAAACUGAUGCGGGGUCACUCUGCAGCCAUCAGGGAUGAGACAAAGUCAAUGCUGAUCAGAGAAAUUGUUGUAAGCGGUGUUGUUUUUCAUAAUUUUCUGUACUGACUCUUCAGAACUGUGUGAGUAGGAAAUCAAAAAGACACACAACUUAUUUUAGGAGUUCAUGCACAUGGUAAAAGCAGCAGGAUGCACAGACACCUGUAAAACAAAAGGACAUUUGUCUUCUAAAAUGCACAUUGCAAAAUUUACCAUCCAGGUGUCAUUUAAAUCACUGUUCAUUUGGAUAAAGUCUACAACAAUUCUAACUUCUUUUUGCUCAACUUAUGCAGACAUGAGAGAAGGUUAUACGCCGAUUGUUCUACGCCCAUCUAAACCUUAACGUAUUGUGUGUUCUGAUCCUGGACUUUCAAACUAGUUAGUUCAUUAUUAGGAUUUCAUUAUGUUAUUUCAGAAGACCUGGAAUGUCAUUUAGAAUCAUGUAGCAUCCCCACAAUGCUAUCAUAUAUACCUGUAUGUAAACAAGCAGAGCUGGUAUCAUGUAGUAGUGAUGGGAAUUACAGCUCUUUUUAGUGAGCCAGAUCAUUCGGCUCAGCUCACCAAGAAGCUCCAAAAUGGCUCUUCAUUUUACCACUUAUAGACUUUCCGAUUCAGCUAAAUUUAGCGUUGUUUGGCUCAUGAUGUGUAUUUGUGCACAUACCACUGAAAUAAUUCAAUACAUCCUUUGUACUGAAGUAUUCACAAGGAAAAAUUAUGUUUUCUAAUAUCAGUAAAUUGCUGUAGCCAAUUGUUUUCAUUGCAAUUACAGACCCUUGUAACUCUCUGAAACCACCUAAUGAAUGCACUUGACUUGAUGACUUGCUAGAACCACUCUGCUACACAAAGCAGAUAGAAGUCCCGUCAUUCUGCCUUGUAGUUAUUGUCUACUGGUCUGAGGGAAGAAAAGAGAGAGAAAAAAAGAGGAAAAAAAAACGGUCCAUAGACGGAAGCCGGCUCUUUGAACCAGUUCGUUCAUGACCGACACAGUCCAGUCUUCGAGGUCCACUGUCCUGCAUGUUUUGGAUGUUUCCCUGCUCCAACACACCUGAUUCAAAUGAUCAGCUCGUUAUUACAGAUCUUGAUAACGAGCUAAUCAUUUGAAUCAGGUGUGUUGGAGCAGGGAAACAUCCAAAACAUGCAGGACAGUGGGCCUCGAGGACUGGUCUUGAGAACCACUGAUGUAGCACAUCAUGGUUUGUCAGUGGGGAUAAAGUUGAACAUAGGGUGUGUCUGGUUAAACUGAUUUAUAACUACGUAACCAGAGCAAUGAGGGCUCAUGACAGGCCUGUGAAUGCUGGACUGAACCAGACUGAAUUUGAUUGGAUAAAAUAAGACUGGAUUGGACUCGAUGAAUAGUACUGGAUGAAUCUGACUAGAUUGGACUGGAUGGGACUUGAUAAAUGAAUUGGCCUGGACUGGACUGGGUCAGACUGAAGUACAUGGUGUUUGAUUGGACUGUAUUGAUUCAAACAGGGCUGGACUGGACUGGACUGAAUUUCAUUGAAUUUGGGUGAACUGGACUGCAUUGAAUUGGCCUUAGAGGAUUGGUUUGGACUGAAGUGGAUUGGACUGCAUUCGACUCGCCAGAUUGGACCAGGCUGGAUUGGUUUGGAUUGGACUUGAUUAGACUGGAGAAGUAUUUUGUAACCGAGGGAUACUGUGGUUUUCAACAAAGUCCAUUCCAGUGCCAUAUCAGUACACAGAUAAUGCUCAUAAUAAACAGACAUAAAUUCAUACAUAAGAUUUAAAUACAGACAUCCUGUUAAUGUCAUUAUAGUAGCUUUACAGUCAGUAAAACGACAGUACUUUGUAUUUGUGGAAUAGUCUAAAGUCAGAGGAUUUUGAGGGAGUGUUUCAUGUUCUUUUCCUUGAACUAACGUAAAAAAAAAAAAAAAAAAAAAAAGAAAAUCUCCUCACAGACUUCACAUCCAUCCAAAGUUUGUGUGUGUGUGUGUGUGUGUGUGUGUGUGUGUGUGUGUGUGUGUGUGUGUGUGUUUAUUGAAAUAGUAGAGAGCACUGCAUUUUGAAAAUGUUCCAUCUGGUUGUACACACAGUGAUAUCAAACAAGUGCAGCGUGAGAAAUGAACUGCAGUAUCAGUGAAGCAGAUAGAGGGGUGGAGGGACAGGAGGUGUGUGAGUGAUUGAGGAGGCAUUGAGAGGAGGCUGCAGUGUUUGUGCACAUACUCCUUCACCUCCUCAAACCGGCGUCUUAUCUACGGCUUGUUUGGAGUGGAAGUUUCAGGAAGUUUGGGGAGAAAAAGUGGGGCAGGUAGACUUACAAAGACCCGUCACUUUUCUUUAUAUAGUCCACAGCCGGUCCAGAAUAUAGAUCAGGUUGCGGCACAGUAUCUGCUCCUCUGUUCUGUCCUUCAGUGGCGAGGGGAAGGACAGGAAGACAACGGGGGAAGGGGGGAGUAUCUUUUCCGCGGUGGAGUCCUAGAAAACUUGGUCCAUCGAAAAAGAAAACAAAGUAGAACAUUUUUGAACGCAUUGAUUGGAGGAAGGAGAAACCUAAUCGCACUUGGCAAAGCACGAAAACAUGCCCUUCAAAUAUAAUGUUCGCCUCAUUUUCUGAACAGAACGUCCUCUUAUUAUAGCACAGGGAUAGAAACCAAGACAUCUUUGCUUGUUCUGAGGUCUUUUAUGCAAAGAGACACUUUAGAAAAUCUAUACUUUGUCCUCCUCAAACUGAACUUUCACUUUACUUAAGCUUUGGCAUGAAAAUAAUGAAUUCCCUUUCAUUUAAGUUGUCCGCGCUGAACCACAUUUCCAGGCUUGUACAGAAAUGAUCUUGGACCUGAUUGAUGAUUUCUGCAGAGGGAUUUGUUUCUUUAUGAUAUAAACAGAAAGGCUAAAGGUCAUUACACACCGGGGGCGAAUUAGCAAAGCGAAUAAUUUCCUUUUACUAAACCUCACAAUGUCAGUGCAAGCUUCCACACCAGCUACGAACUUCCGCAGAGCGGAAAAGAGACUUGCGAACAUUUGCUUUUAAUCUAUAGCCUUGCAUAAAUCUUACCUCAGACAUAUCAGCUCUCUAUAAUUCGUCCGCUCCCUCUGCAAACUUGGAGUCACCUGAUAAAGCAGUUCUUGAAAUUGUCUGAGGGACAUUCAGAAGUGUUGUUGGAAUUUCUUGGGAUACAAUUUGAGCUCCUAGAUUUUUGUGUAGCUCCCCCAUCUCCUGUCGCAAGAUCAGUAUUGGAUGUACCCAGACACUUUGGUUCUUCUUUUUCUUUUUGUUAUUUAAUAGGCUUACAACCACGAUCAGGUCAUCAUCGCUCGAGGAUGUAGUCGCCGUUGUUUCUCCUUCUUCUCUCGCCCUCUCUGUUCUCCCCCCGUGGCGUAUUUUUAUGUGAAUUUUAUUCGCGUCGCACCAGGUGUGUUUUGGAAAAAGCGUAAGUCGAAUAUUUCGCAUUUUCGUGUCGCUUUUUCGCAUUGCUCCGCUAAUUCGCCAGUGUGUUAUGACUUUAGAUCAGUGGUUCUCAAGUCCAGUCCUCGAGGCCCACUGUCCUGCAUGUUUUGGAUGCUUCCCUGCUCCAACACACCUGAUUCAAAUGAUCAGCUCGUUAGUAAGCCAUAACAGAGCUUGAUAACGAGCUGAUCAUUUGAAUCAGGUGUGUUGGAGCAGGGAAGCAUCCAAAACAUGCAGGACAGCGGGCCUCGAGGACUGGACUUGAGAACCACUGCCUUAAGAGUUAUUAACUGAGUAACCUGACAGCUGUCUUUGCCUGUUUCUAGAUAAGUAACCGGUCAGGUUGGGGUAGAACUUAGAUAUUUGUUUGCGUCUUCUGUUAAAACAUUUUGUAAACAUCUGUUUUUAAAGAUGCCUUAAAAAUACAGCUAUUAUCAUUCUUCUUCUUCUUCUUCUUCUUCUUCUUCUUCUUCUUCAUUAUUAUUAUUAUUAUUAUUAUUAUUAUUAUUAUUAUUAUUAUUAUUAUUUUUAUUAUUAUUAUUAUUAUUAUUAUUAUUAUCAUCAUAAUUAUUAUUACUAUUAUUAUUAUUAUUACUACUAUUAUUAUUAUUGUUGUUAAAUUAAAUAAAAUUAAAUUUUAUUUUAUUUUAUUUUAUUUUAUUUUUCAUGGUGACUGACUACCCUUUAAACCAAUGGAUAGCAUUACAGAGACUCAACAAUGUUUUAUACAGUGUGUGUGAAAAACUUUUUUUUUUUUUUGAGCUGAUGGUAAACUGUUGUCUGUCUCUAAUUUUAAUCUGUGUUCAUUUGGUUUUAUUCUCUGUUCUACCUUUAAAGCACUCUGUCUACUUCUUUAUACCAAUAAUGACUGUUUUCCUCUUCAUUUAUUGUCCUCAUUGUAAAACACUUUCAGCCUCGACAUUCAUCAUAAAUGCCUGAAAUUCCUCACUAUUAUUUGCCUUCAUGUCAAUCACAACAAUGUUUCCUGACUUUAAACACUUGUCAUAAAAGCAGCACCUGCGAAAUGGACUUUGAAUAUUUUGCCACUCACAAAAUGCAAAAUGACCCCUCCCCUAAACACCACAUAGGUUGUUAUGAACUCAAGGUCAGACUCUGUGAAUCAAAGAGAAAACACCCCUUUAGACAGAUUUUAUAGCUUUAAGAGUCUCAGCAGAGAGCUUUAUAGAUCAUGUGAAAUGUUGAGUAUGAGUGCAGAGAGUAUUGACCGCUGAGGGACAAUCUCACCCUACUCUGGUUAAAAGCUUCCAGUGCUUUACUUUGAGUAUAAUACUUCAAUUCUUGUGGUCAGACAGAAGUAAUACUCCGACUUUGCCCUUUAAUCUUUGCGAUUAUUAACCGCUGGAUGUUUUUGGAUGUUAAACACUUUAUUUUAGCUCCUCUCUCUCCAUGUCAGAAGGUCAGUUUUCUCUCGGACAGAGAUAAGGCAGCUUCCCCCGUCAGCGCUGCAGAGGUCUCUGAGCAUGCCCGAUAACGCCGCACCUGCGUUAUCUCUCAUGUUAAAACCCCUCGCCUUGUUAGCAUGCUAAAUGAUGGAUCGUCCUCUCGGAGUAGAAGGGGCUUUGGCUCCCCUGUGGCUCUGAAACCCUCGGCGCCCUGCAAGUCCGAUGAUAGAUUACCUCGCCUUUAUCUGCAGCAGCUGAUUAUUCCGCCUCUAUCAUGAAAGCUAAGUGCGAGCAGGGAUGUGAUCGCCUUGUAAUGUGGCCUGAAAUAGCUUGAUUAUGCUCAGGUUCAUUUUUAUCUGGCUGGAUUACACUCCGCGCAGUCUGUUUGUGCACACUUCAAGUUUGAAAGAUAGGGAUGACUGUCGCUUACAUUCUGCAGACGUUAUGCAUUAAAUCUAAUCAACAGUGAACAUGACAGGAAUUAAAUAUCCUCCUCAUAACUUCAUCAGUGAGAGUGACCUCUUUAAACCGUCCAUCACAGUGUUAUUAAGCCAACAAUCACUCACACAGUAAGAAACUAAUUACAGGACAUACUUUAAAAGGAAGGGAGGGGCUUCUUACAAGAUAGUCUAUUAUCACAGUCAUUAUUAAUAAUCACAGCUGGACUCUAUUAAAGCAUAAAACCAUAAUAAUUCAGUGUUAGGUCUGACCUUCAGCCAGGAGUGACAGCUCACAUAAUCUGAUGACACACUUGUCAUCUUUAAUCAUCAGUGUGUGUGGUGUAAAAAUGCUGCAUUAAACAUGCAGGUUAAAAUGAUCAGUCUGAUGAAAACAUGCAGGGUACCAACAUCCAAUCAGAGGCCCUGCGUUUCGAAAUAUGAUGAGAUGGGAGCCUCCCGUGUCUGAUGGACUCAGAUCUUUUUUGACUGUUACAGAUUUCUGUACAAUACUACUCAAAACUGUGAGAAAUAUGAUUUAUAGUCUGCAGAUUCUUGCAGCUUUGUAUAGUAAUUCAACACAGUUGGGUGACAAACAAAACAAAUAAAAAACAGAGUCAGACAACAUUUUUUCAAUUCGGUUUGAAUUUCACAAACAUGUUGCCAAACCAGUGAUAAAAUCCAACUCUGACAAAGCCGAAAGAAAAUUAAAGCUGCAAACAGCAUUCAGCCAGCUCUUAUAUCUUUGCACAAAAUAGGGAGUGUUACAGUCACAGCAGAGGACGCUGAGCACACACAGCUAUCAACAAGCAAACAACAUGGGAGUAUAUUGAAUAUUUUGCAUGCAUUUCAGUACUGGCUUGUUCCUGCAAGUUAUACUAAAUGGUAUAAAGGACUGAAUUUGGGAAAUCUGGAGCAGACUGAACAUUGUAUCUAAGAGUUGAUACUAGUACUUUACAGCAGGCUUCCUCAGUAGAUUAAGUCUGAGUCAGGAUUGCCAGCAUACAUGGAGACUCUAGAGCAGACUGAACACUGUAAAAGAGUUAUCAAAAGGGAUUCCCAUCACGAAGUACAAAUGGGACUCUCACUUAGCAUAUUGCCAAGCUUGGACCAGGACUGCCAUCAUACACGUUAAAUCUGGAGCAGAUUGAACAUUGCAAUUUUUUUGUUUUCCUGACACAAAUUUUUUGCAUCUUACCACAGCUAAACUUUUUGAUACCAGCUCAGGAUUUUAAUAGAUUUUCAUCCUAAUUGCAUGCCAAACAUAAUGACUAUGGUCACUUUCACACCUGACCAAGUGGACUCGGUUCGAUUGGGGAGCUGAAAGUCGCAACAUAGUUGCAUUUAUCACUUGUUUCGGUUCUGCUUUCAUACUGUGAAUUACACUAAAGUGCACCGAACUUUCCGAGCAGCAUUACGAGGCUUAAAGGGGCGCUUGUCGAUUGGACAAAUUGUGAAUUUAUGGAUUAUUGUUGUUCAGACAAUUGAGCGAAGCUAGCUAGCAACUGAACCAAACCAGGGUUCACUUGCAAGCGAACCAAGACCCACGUUUUCAGGCAGACCAGAGAUCGCUUGUUUGGUCCGCACCAGAGUUCGGAUGAGUUUUCACACUUGCCCAUACAAAGUGGACUAUUCGAGGAAACAAACUGUGGUCCGUUUAAAGCGGACCAAACAGCUCUGGUGUGAAAGCGGCCUAUGUUUGAUGAGGAUCUAAGGAAAAAGCUUUAAAGCAGUUCAAGUGCAGACAAUAAUCUUUCAAAGACAUCAGAAUAACUGAUUACCUGUCAGGCUUUAGAAAGAGGUGCAAAUGUUUGUAGGUCUUGGCGUAGUGGGUUCACCUGCCAAAUUGCACUUAUGUACUUUUUGUUUUGGUUUUGGUCACUGGUUUGAAGAGGUUUUAUAAACUGUGAUGAAUAUUCAUACUAAAUUGCUUACAUUUAGGUGAAAGUAUCACAAUGCAGACACCCUUAUUAAAAGUUUUGGGAGCCUGUUUUCUCUACACAGACUGUGUUGCUCCUGCGCCAGACAAAACCAUCUUUAUGUAUCAGUGAUAUUAAGGAAGCCUUUAGAUGUAAACAGCAUUCAAAGGUUGUUAAGGGGCAAGAAAGCACAUUACAAUUCUGGGGAGAAAUAAAAAGAAAUAAAUAAAGUUCUCAUUUCUGUAUCAAAACUGCACUGUUGUGAUAAAACAAGGCUGUUUUUCAGGGUUUCUGCAGAGCUGACAGCUGGAGUUUGAAGAUUUUCUCCUUUCAGCAAUGAUGUAUGAGUGUAAUAAAGCUCUGAGAUAUGCAGAGAGGUGAAAUACAAAAUAUUUAUCCAUGAAAUCUAGAAAAACAAAAGUAGAUAUAUAUAUAUAUUUUUUACAUAUACUCAGGUAAAUGAGCUGAGUCUCGCCCUGCUUUCUUUUCUGCUUUGUAGUGUCAGGUUUUAGCAGGAAGAGCUGACAUCUUUACUCUCCUUAUGCCCGGAGGGGAUUUCACCAAAGACUGUGUAAGAGGAGGAACACUCUGAGAUAAAAGUCUGCUUCUCUUAGAGUGACUCUGUUCAUAAAUCAGACCUGGUAGAUGAAUGCAAACUCCAAAUCACUGAUGGCAGAAAAUACAAGAAACAGAUCUGCCGUCAUUUAGCAUCACAGAGUGAGAGCCGAUGAUUUAGUUUGAUGAUUACACGGAUACAAAGGCGGGGAACAGACAAUGAGGUUUGUAGUUUCAUUAACAAAGUUACAGCUGCAUCCUGGCAGUAGACUACAGACUGUAGAGAGAGUGAUUUAGCCUUCAUUAGUACAAAUGUGCUCAAUCUGCAGUGGUGAAAUCUGGUUUGAUUUGGAGGAACACUAAACCUGACACUCUAUUACAGUGACCAACAGGAGCCCAAAUGAGAUCCUACCGGAGAAACAGGCUCAAACUUUAAACUUUGUUCAGUUUGUUUAUCUGUCUGAUGGAUUAACGGCAGAAAACUCUAUUAUUUUGUGAAAAUUAAAAAAAACAAAAACAACAACACACAGUUGAAUGGUCUUUUAUUCAAAAUAAACACACGUUAUUUUAGCCUCCAGCUCCCAGAGACACAGGUGAAAAAACAGAUAACAUGUUGUGCACAUUAUUCCACAAGACAUGCAAUCAUACACACUUUAAUAAAACACACACACACACACACACACACACAUGCAGGAGCAUAAGAAAACACCUAUGUGAAUUGUGUGUGUGUCUGGUAGAGAUAAACUCAGGUACGGCUGCAGAAAAUGACUCUGUUAUUGAGCUGUGAAUGGAGGCCUGUGGGGGGUGAUGACAGCUCUUCUUCCUCUGCGUCUUCAUCUCCACGUUGUAUUAACACGACUUUACAUGGAGCUCAUGUUCGCCGCUGACACAACCAGCUGUGUGUGUGUGUGUGUGUGUCUGCCGAGGCUGCGUUUGUGUGCGUGCAAUAGAAAUACAUGUCUCUGAAAUCAGCUGCAAUGAAAACAAGCUGGGAGAAAAUCUAUAGAAUUAUUCAUGGAGACUUUUUUUUUUUUUUUAUCGUGCAGAAAGGUGACAGCAGGGGGCCACACACACACACACACACACACACAUAUACACACUGUUAUACACACUAACACACCUGGGCCCUGUGGUACAUUUGUGAGAUGAGAAAAUAAAGCGAAUCAAUAUCCCCUCUGUUGAUGCCGUGUGGCAGAGAUUGAUACUCUGCUGCUGCGCAUGAAAUAUGCAUGCAGCUCUGAAUCUAAAAAUAUUGUUUUAGUUAAACCCACCCGUUCGGCUGCAGAAAACUUCUAGAUUGAGUUACAGGCAGAUAAAUAUAUACUGUAUAAAUAUAUACACAGGAGCCUGCAGCAUGUAUCGACAAAGACAAUGUUCGAUUGUCUCGUGAUUAGCUCACACAGACAAGAUGGAAACUCCCGGGAUAUCAUGAAAUGCUGAACCCAGAUGAGUUUCUCUGAGAGAGUGCACACAGUUCCAGACCCUGCUGUGCGUGGAUGCAAAUGCAUGUCAAUACCAACACUUUAGGACUAAUGUAGUGGAGCAGGGAUGUUGUUUCCACGGGGAGUAUGAACAAUGGAUGGGUUUCUGUACUGCCAUUUGCUGCUCAUAAACUUCCAUGGUAGAUUUUAACUCUGAUCAAAUCAAUUCAUGGAGCUUUAUCAGCGAAAACCGAACAAUGACAAUGUGACUAAAGCAUUUACACAAAUUAAAUAGGAAUAACAAUAGUCAAAUUAAGAAGAGCAUAAAAAAUACCAAAAUAAGUUAAUGAGUUAAGUACAUUAGUUAGUUAGUUAGUUAGUUAGUUUCUACAAGCAAAAACAGCAGCACCACAUAAUUGUUUUUUGUGUUACUCACAUAUAUGUACAUUUCUGGCUGGUGACAAAAGUCGGACAGAUAGUCUGAGUAGAUAUUUUAACCCAAAGUCCAGAGUGGUAUUGUCUAUGCAAAAAUGCAUUGAAGAAGUAGCACCAGCGUAGUGGAAUGAAAUUCACUUUCUAGGCGAAAGUUUCUUUCGCGCAGUUUCAGAUGCCGUGGACGUGGAUGCAUCGGCGAUGCUGCCUGAAGGGUUCAACUGACCUGCGGCUGCAUCACGUUCUUGUUUCUCAAACGCCUUUUGCAAAUAUAUUGCUGGUACCAUGUCGUGAAACCCAGCGUCAUCAGGAACAUUGUCAAAGUCGAUAUCAACGCAAUGUUAAUAAGUUUCUGCAAGGUCUUUUGUCUCUUUCUGUAGAGAAAGCCACUUUCUAAUACUAGUUCUGUAAGUUUCCCAACGUGUCCUUGUAAAGUCGAGAAUGUCUUCACGCUGGACAGAUGAUAGAUGCAUAUAACAUUGUUUCGUUCCUUUUUGAUGCACUUUUGAAGGCUGUUUUCUUUUCCUCCUGUUCUUUUCUUCCUCUUCGCUUGUCUCGCUGCUAGAUGCGCUCGUCGCCAUAUUUGUGUAUUUCUGAUACUAUGGCAACGAGACUCGGCUCCUAUUGGUCCACGUGACAAAAAUUGCGUUACCCCUCAGCAUAUUCGAUUGCGCGUGUGCAAGUAUCACUACGCCGCAGAAAGGAAAGAGUUCGACACCGAAACACUGAUUACUAAAAAUCGACGGGAUGGCAUGAGUAGAAAUUUUUUUUUUUAGUACUUACUACGAAUAGAGCUAUUUUAUGAAUCACAGUUUAUGUUGCCCCACUAAAGUGGAACGAACUAACACGAUCUCACUCAGCCGAUACAGCCUAUCAAUGCUUCAAGAGGCUUCAUGUUCAAGUUUUUUCUCGAAAUUUUCCACCUUUUUCGAAAUUUUCGACUUUUUUCUUGAAAUUUUUUACUUUUUUUCUCGAAAAUUAAGGGAAAAAAAUCUCUUCAAGUGGCCCUAGUACGCUUCUGUAAUCAUGUUUUUUUUAUCGCAUAUUUAGAUGAUUUUAAUAGUUUUUCUGCUUUCACUUUACCUGCCCAGUAAUGAUGGGAAGAACAUUUCUUUUGCCUGUACUGAAUUUUUAGAAUCCGUUCAUUAAAACGAUUCAUGCAAAAGAUUCGUUCACUGAAUAAGUUAGUGCUACACCAGUGAGUGACACAGCAGCGAGUUCGUUCAAUGAAUGAGCCCCUCCCCUCCCCUUCUCCGAGUAUGAGCUUAAACAGUAUGUCAUAUAUGGAGCUAUAAGAGCUUGAUGAAGAGUCUAUGAUGGAUUUCCAACUAAGUUUAUGAUCAAUUUUCACACCCAGAAGUUUAUUUUUCAUCCACUUUUUGUCUGUCAACAUCAUUCACCCUGAGUUUAACUUGUGUUUUAAUUAUUUAAUCUUCAGCUCAUCUCAAGCUGACCUUCUGAGAACUUUCAGAGCAAACCGCCAAUUCGCACAAAACAUCAUUUAUAAUUCAUGGCAGCGUGAAUAAUAAUACGUCAGAGAAAUGAAUUGCGUUCAUCGCAAUUUGCAGUUGAAAUAUAAUCCCAGCAAACUGUGUCAGAUCUAAGAGGACAUACCUCACCCACAGAUUAUUUUCUACACACACAUGCAUGUUUCUCUUUGACCAGCAGCUGCAUGUUGAACUGUCAACAGGAAGAAGAUGAAUGCAAUCAUGAACGUAAGCCGAUAAUAAAAGAGACGGACAACAGUAGAUGCAGAUUUGAAGUCAGAUCGGCUAAGAAGAAUUCAGCUCUACUUACAGUAUGACUCUAAAUCAGGCUCUAAAUUAUGAUUUAAAUCUCAUUUUUUCCUAACAGUGUUUAAACACAUAUUUCCAGCACCUUCCCUCCCUUCUGUAAAUGCACCUGUAGAUCCAGCCCUGCUGUGCUCUGAGAUAAAGUCUGAUUUAAUCUGCAGGAAGCCUCACAGAAAUACUUUAGAAAGAUAAACCUGACCUGUUUGAUAGCAUCAGUCUGCUAAAUGAGGAGAGGAUGAUAAAACUGAUGGAGGCAGCCAGUGAAGAACUCCAACCCCUCCAGCUUUUUAUCUUUACAUUUAAACCUGGUGUCGAGCUCCCUAUCAAGCACAAAAUGUCCAAUGAUUUAAGAUUCCCAUGUUAAAAAACACUGAAAGUGGAAAAAUGAGAGGUUAAAUAAUGUUGUCAUUUACUUUUUUUAGCCUCAGUGGGAAAUUUUCUGAGGACCCUGUGGUAUAAAACUCUGAGCCAAAAACAACCUCAGAAUCCAUAACCUGCAGGGAUUUGAAGGUGAGGCAGAGUGUGGACUAGAGGUGAAAAAAAAGGCUGGAUUCUAGGAAUGAGCAAGCUUCAUAAUCAAAUAAAAUACCCUACUUUAACCAAUAACUGCAAUUUAACUCUAAGGUUAGUUCAGCUUCAGUUCUGGAUUUUCUUGACUAUUUUUUAAACCUGCUCCAUGUCUAAUUUUAAAAAUAAAUGCUGUGUUGCUACGUAUCUAAGACAAAGGGUCCAAUACUUUGGGCUCUAUUUUCGUGCCUCGCCGGCAGCGUGGCGUAGGCGCGGCGUAAGUCAGGUACACCGCACCGACAAGGUGUGCCCAAGCACAUUUUGGUGAGCGGCGCAGCCCGGCGUAAGCAUCCCCUCUCCCUAACUCAGCUCCUCCAAGCAGUGUAAGUCAUAGAGAGGGGGAGGAUAAGGCGCGGAGUGGGUUUAACACAGCCGAGACCUGUUUUCGCCAAUCAUAUCAGCUCCUCUCCUCAUCUUUAAAUCCGCCACCAGCGAGGCGUAUUACAAUUUUCGUGAAGUAGUCAAAGAGAUCAAGAGAUGUCUGAAGACAGCAAUGCCACACAAUGGCGACAGAAGGCAGCUCCUUAACAAGUGUCACUGUAAGCGCUGCAGAGGGCAUCCUCCACACUCUCCCAUAUGAGCACAGAUGGAUUUGGUGUGUGUAAUGUUGGACCCACUGGUAAGACAAACACCCUUUUCCACAAAUAAAGACACUCACAUAAAGUUGCAUAUAUUUAAACCUCACGUGACAAAGGUGGGUUGUGUGCACAGAUCAUAACAUAAAUUCCAAUAAUGGCAUUAAAAUCGGAAUCAUCUGUACGUAAAUGAUGCCUGGCUCUUUUUUUUUCCAUAGAUGUUGGCAGAUAAAAUAAAUUUGGCUUACAAAACUGAAUAUUAUAAUAUUCAUAUGUAGGCUUAAAGUAAAUAACUGAGAUACAGUAGCUUCAGUUCAGUUGGAGAAAAUCACUGUUUGCAUGCAGUGAAGUCGGCGUUCCCAAUGCCUAGUGGCGAUGGUCCUUGGCGAUAGACUGGUUGUGGGAUUCAUUCCUGAACCCAGACAAAGAAGAACCUGGAGGAAAAGCUUUCUCUUUACCAGUCAAUCCAGUCCUCACUUAUGGUCAAGAUCUUUGGGUUUUAACCAUGGAAUAAGAUGAUGGAUACCAGUGGCCUAAAAGAGUAUUCUAUGAGCUUUAGAGACAGUAAUAGGAGCUCAGACAUAAUAAUAAUAAUAAUAAUACAUUUUAUUUAUAAAGCGCUUUUCAAAAACACAAAGACGCUGUACAGAAUUAGGCAAUAAAAACACACAUCAAUAAGUAAUAAAAUUUACGGCAAUAUAAUAAAAACAUGUAGAAUCAGGUAAAAUCCAAAUAACAAUAAAACACACAUCAAUAAGUAAUAAAAUUUACGACAAUGUCAAUAAAAACAUGUAGAAUCAGGUAAAAUCCAAUGGGGGGGGGGGGCUAGGAAGGAUGAAAGGCAGUGUGGAAGAGGUGGGUUUUGAGAAGGGUUUUGAAUCUGGUGAGGUCAGUGCAGUUUCUGAGUUCGAGUGGGAGUGAGUUCCAGAGGGUGGGGGCGGCGGCUGAGAAGGCUCUGUCCCCCCAGGUUCGGUGCUUGGUCAGGGGAACUGUGAGGAGGUUGGCAUUGGCGGAGCGGAGGGUGCGGGAGGGGAUGUAGGGGUGGAGAAGAUCCUGUAGGUGGGGGGGGGGGCGAGGUUGUGGAGUGCUUUGUGGGUGAGGAGGAGGAUUUUGUAUUAAAUGUGGUGGGGUAUGGGGAGCCAGUGAAGGUUUUGGAGGACGGGGGUGAUGUGUUGAUGGGAGCGUGUGUGGGUGAGGAGGCGGGAGGCUGAGUUCUGGAUAAGCUGAAGUUUAUUGAGGAGAGUGGAGGUGGUGCCAUAAAAGAGACUGUUACAGUAAUCUAGACGAGAUGAAAUGAAUGCAUGUAUAAGGGUUUCAGCUGCAGGGUAGGAGAGGGAGGGGCGGAGGCGGGCAAUGUUUUUGAGGUGGAAGUAGGCUGUUUUAGUGAUUUGCUUUAUGUGGUGGGUGAAGGAGAGGUUGCUAUCGAAGAGAAUGCCAAGGUUGCGACAGUGGGAGGAGGGGGAGAGGAUGGAGUUGUCGAUGGAGAGAUGAAAGUUUGUGACUGUGGAGGUGAGGGACUUUGGGCCAAUGAUGAUGAGAUCUGUUUUGUCAUAAUUGAGCUUAAGAAGAUUGCUGUCCAUCCAGUGUUUGAUGUCAGAGAGACAGUUUGAGAGGGAGCGUUGGGUCUGGGGGCUGAUGGAGUUGGAAGAGAUAUAUAAUUGAAUGUCAUCAGCAUAGCAGUGGAAGUGGAGGUUGUGUUGACGGAGGAUGUGGCCAAGAGGGAGGAGGUAGCUGAUGAAGAGGAGGGGACCAAGCACCGAGCCCUGGGGGACACCUUGGGACACGGGGGCGGUUGUGGAGGAGCAGUUGUUAAUAUGGAUGAAGUGAUUCCGGUUUGUGAGGUAAGAGUGGAUCCAGUUAAGAGCGGUGUCUGUAAUAUUGAGGAGGGAGUGUAGGCGGGACAGAAGGAUGGCAUGGUUGAUGGUGUCGAAAGCAGCGUAGAGGUCGAGAAGGAUGAGGAUGGAGAGUUGGCCAGAGUCAGCAGAAAUGAGGAGGUCGUUUGUCACUUUGAUGAGGGCAGUUUCGGUGCUGUGGUGGGUGCGGAAUCCAGAUUGGAACUGUUCAUAUAGGUUGUUAUUGUUGAGGUGGGUUUUGAUUUGUGAUGUGAUGACACGUUCGAGGAUUUUUGACAGGAAAGGGAGGUUGGAGAUGGGCCGGAAGUUACUGAUGUCAUCGGGGUUGAGUCCAGGUUUUUUGAGGAUGGGGGUGACAGCAGCCAGUUUGAGUGAUGGGGGAACAGUGGUGGAGUUGAGGGAGGAGUUGAUGAUCUGUGUUAUGAUGGGGGAGAUGACGGGGAGGCAGUGCUUGAUGAGGGAGGAUGGGAUGGGAUCCAGGAUACAGGUGGAUGAAGACAUGGAGCAGAUGAUAUUAGUCACGUCAGUUGAGGAGACAGGUGAGAAGCAGGAGAGUGUUGAUGGGAUGGGUGGGAUGGGAUGAGGGGAGGAGGGGAGGAGCAGGGAAUGGAGGGUGGGGGAAGGGAGUUAUAGAUUGCGUUGAUUUUGUUUUGAAAAGAGGAGAGGAAUGUGUUGCAUUUUUCCGGGGUGAAGGUGAUGGAGGUACUGUCUAUGGGGUGGAGCAGUUUUUUGACGGUGGAGAAAAGAGCCUUUUGGUUACUGGAGCCGGAGUUGAUGAGGUUGGAGUAAUAGGAUGAGCGGGCGGAUUUGAGGGCUGUUCUGUAUAGGUGGAGGUGGUCGGUGUAGGCUUGGAGAUGGACAGUGAGGCCGGUUUUGCGGUAUAGACGUUCCAGUUGGCGUUUAUGGGAUUUCAUUUUGUGUAGUUCUGAAGUAUAUCAGGGGGCAAAGUGUCUGAAUGAAACUGUUUUUGUUUUGAGAGGUGCGAGUUGGUCCAGGCAGGAGGAUAGAGUGUUGUUGUAGUAGCUGAGUAGGUCAGGAAGUUUAGCAGAUGGUGAGGGAGGGAAUGCAGUGAGGGUGGCAGAUAGGGAAGCGGAGAGGUCCUGUGGUGAGAUGGAUUUGAGGUUUCUGAAGGUAAUUUGUCGUUUUUCACUGUGAGGCAGAGGGGGGGGGGUCGACGUUGAAAGUGACAGCCAGGUGAUCAGAUAUAUAGAGGUUGGUGGUGGAGAGAUGGCAUCCAGACAUCCAGAGAGAGCUAAGAGUUGGGCCACAUCAAGGGGAGUUUGUUUAGGUGGUUUAGACAUUUGAUCAGGAGCCUCCUAAACACCUCCCUUUGGAAGUUUUCCAGGUACCUGGGAAGUCUUAUAUAUCCUACCUGGCCUGGAAACAGUUUAGGAUCCACCUGGAAGAGCUGGACAAUGUCGAGGAAAUAGAUGCGCAAAUUUCACUCAAGUUAAAAGUGAGGUACAUUUGUCAAUAUCUUUUGUUUCAGGAAAACCAAUUUACAUCAUGGCCACAGUCUCUAAUUCAAAUAACAGUUUUGACCUUGCAUUCAGCAUCAAGUUAAAAAUGUGUUGCCUGCAAAUUUCCCUGAUGCUGUACUGAGCGGACUACUUCUCUGACCUCAGAAUGAAUGAAUGAAUGUUUGUGGCACAACACUUGAAACUAUUUCAUUUGUCUUUAAAUUUUCCCUUCAGCAUAUUAAUUUUUUAUUGUUGUUUAUCACAGCAAUCCUCAGUCAGCUCAGCCCAAAUGAUUAAACUCAAAUCAGAAAGGGAAUGAGGCUGAAUCAAUCUGCCCCUUCAAAAUAAAAGUAUUAUUCAGUGAGAGUUUGAAAAUAGAAACAGUUGAUUAGGAUCAUCGGUUGAAGGUCUCUCUGAUUAUUACACCUUUCUGUUUAACAAUUCUCUCCAAUGUCCUCCUGAUUGGUGUAAAUGAGAAUAAACUGCAACAGUCCUUCAGUUAUAAAUCAUUUUAUUGAAGAAAUUACGGGAUGUCCAUUUUUCUAUCUGGUUUCCUCUCUGCAUAGUUUGGUUUUAACCUUAUUUGUGGAUGCAAAAUUCUUCCGAUGUCAUGGCAUCAAAUCUAAAAUGUUGUCUUUGCACUAUCAGGAUUUGCAAACCAUCAAACCUUGUCCUUGCAAAAACAUUUAAAGGAUCCCUUGACAGUUGAAGAGGAGCCAGAGGGGAUCAUAUUCGGCAGAACAAUUAUCUCUCGAAAUAUAUGACUCAAUUUUAAGAAAUUAAUUCAAUACUUGGUAUGAAUUCCCUCAUGCCGCUUUCAUCAAAACAAUCCGUACGCUGAAAUAUUUUCCUGUGGUGCAUUUUAAGACCUGCUCUUAAAAUAAACUCAAAUUAUGGUCAUAAUUGAAGAUUAAUUAUAAUCCUCUUCAGGCCAGUGUGCUGACGUUACUCUCACUUUUUUUUUUUAAAUAGGAAUAAAUCGAUUCAUGGGAACAAUAAGCAGAUCCAAUUGAAGUUAAUUGUCCUGAGUAAAUGAGGUUCAUUAGUGAGUGGAGAGCACAGUGAUUGUGCAGAAGCUUAUUUCUGUCAGAGUCACGCAUCCUUCAGUUUGAUUGAAGCAAACACUGAGGGGCCAUUUCACAAUAAUGAUCAGUCUGAUUGUUUUCAGGCUGCAGUAAUGAAAUAUUUGUGACAUUUAAAUCUGUGUCAGCCCUGAUUCAUUAGCCAGGAUUGUUGCCAGGAGACGCAGAUUGCAGAGUAGCAGACUGACCUUUGACCAGCAGAACUUGAUCAGGCAGCGAGCGAACAGAGAAGGGCGGGGGCGGAGUGAUGGCGAGCUGAUGUUAUUGGCUCCUGACUCAUCUGAGGAAACAGUGAGUAAAGCGAGGCGAGAAACGGCCUUGAAAUUUCCUGGUGACAUUUGGAUUUCUGCACUGAUAAGUCGACAUUAUUCUACGUUUUUUUUUAGAGGUGUCACAAAAGGCCGAUGGAAAACUCGCUGACGACCGGGAGGCAGGAAGGUGACAAGAAUACUGCGAACAUGAAAACUUUAUUUGAGUCAUAAAAAUCUCUGAAUCACAGACUGCAGCCUGUAUGAAGGACACAGAGGAGCCUGUCUGCAGCACUGUGACCACCCAGUACAGACACUGGGCUGAGAAGAUGACCAUAAACACGCCGAUGGUAUCCUGCAGAUGUGUAAAAGGGUACCCUUAGCAGAAAUUAAUACUUUGUUUUUUCACUGUAGGCUGAAAGGCGCUCUUGUACUUACAUUAAAAGCAUUAUCACAGGUGUCUUUAUAGUCUCUAGUGUCUGUUUUAGGGUACCCUUUAGCUUCUGUGGUAAUGUCCUUUGUUUAUGCUAACAACAAACACCUGUUCUAAGAACUCACUGAAAGUUGGUUUUGAGGUUUUCUUCGGUAGAUGAUUUGAGGUUUUUCUUUUCGAUUGUGUUUUAAAGUUCCUGUGAGGGUUUUUUGCGUUAUGACGCAUUUGGCGCCCCCUGUGGAUGAAGCAGUCUUUGCUCCUUUUCUCCUGUAAAUAUGGUGUCAUCUGAGAAAAGUCUCAUCCUGCUGACUUUUGACAGCCAGAUGUGGCACAGUUGUAUAUAUCUCAAACAGACAGUGUAGAAGCAGGGCUGUUUCUACCGCCUCACAGUGGUUUCAGGCAUUCAAAUUCACAACAUAAAAAUCCUUAAUCUUUUCAUUAGUGGGAGUGUUUAAUUUUACAUAUCAUGACAUGGCUUCAGUACAGAUUUUAGUCUAUUUUAUUAAUGGAAAAAAAACUGUGUCUGUUUUGGGGUUUCUUUUUGCUUCUGUAUCAGCUUUCACUUUUGCAAAUGUUUAGUUUAAAGUUUGCCUCACAAGUGUUUCUAGGUACCAAGUUUUGUUGAUGUAUUUUGGUUCUCUUUGCAUCUGUUGUAAGGUAUUCUACUGGUUGUUCUGAGCCUCUAUUUUGCAUCUGUUUUACCAUCAUGCUCGUGCUCUAGCCUGCACCGUACUGUUUUUGGGUUCCUUUUUGCAUCUUUUUAAACACAUCAUUUUAUGUCCAUGUCACCCUCUGUUGUCAUGAACCCUUUACAACACAAUGUGGCUUACUAGAGUAGAAGUCAGACUGAUGAUGUCUGCAGCCAUGAAUACUUUCAGAUUAUUUUGUUAUGUUUACUGCAGCUGGAAGAUUUCCAGCCUAUAGUUCCUUUUAAAUAGGCGGUGAAAGUAUCUGUAGGUUUACGCUCAGCUGGACAUGAGGUGAAAUAUUACAGAUUCAGAAAAAAUUAAAUCCUCAAUUCACAGAUUUUACGUUUUAACCAGGUAUCUGCCAUGUCACCUUUGUUAUACAGUGCAACGCAGUAUAGCUAACACCCUCUGGCAGCAUUCAGAGUACAUGUUUAUUCCAAAUACACUAGAAUUAUGCAGUUUGUCUGAGUGUGGGGUCCAGCUAUUAAUUUCCUUUUAGGCCACUGAGAUCUGAAUGUUGUUUAAAGAAGCAGCAGUGAAAAAUGAACCCUGUAUAUUAUCCAGGGAGCUUUUUAGUACAUUUUCUUCAUUUUAAUCUACAGGAGGUAUUAAUCUUAGGGGUUAUUAAAUUUAGAUAAAGAGGUCUGAAUAAGAGAGCAUCUCUCUGUUAUUAAAGAGGCCAAGUGUGUUUCUAAAAAGCCUCUGUAGAAAGUGUUUCAGCUAAAAACGAGAUACUGUCAUGACCGUGGAAGGGGUUAGUAAUUUCAAAAUAAAACAGAAAACACAUGACGUGCGAAAAAUAAAGAAAACUUAACCAACCAACCAUGACAGAUAUAAACACAGCAGAAUGUAAAUGUUAUAUGACAACUCAGGUGGUCCUGCAGAAAGGAGUGUUUUGGACAAAAAAGGGAGGAUGCAAUGUUAAAAAAAAAAAAGGUUAUUUUUAAUCAGGUUUUCUUUGUCAUUGGUAAUAGAUUCAUGCUGAGUCUUCACCAAACUUCAUCAGACAUCUAAAAUCCAUCAGAGCUGUAUCUUCAGACCCUCUAAAAGGCAUUGAGCUAAUUUCAGAAAGUGACAUUUUUCUACUCUAGUUUAGAGUCGCCUUUUGUUGUUUAUUUGUUUCCUUGAGCAGCACUCCACAUCCCUCUGUUCCUCACCUCAACUUUAUGUUAAACAGCACUUCAUUAUUUCUUUACACAAUAAAUAACAAUUUUUACAUCACAGAAUUGGGGUUUUUAUGCAACCGCACCCCCUCACACAAUGUGUUUACCUUGUUUUGGUAGUGUCUGUGUGUGUGUGACUGUGAGAGAAUGUUAAUACUACAGGGACCAGGUUUUGAUUGGUUAAUGGGCCAGGUCCGUAGAACCAAUUGGGGAGGAGAGCCAGAUUCAAUAGGCUGCUGACUGGGGGGAAGACACCAUUGUUGUCAACCUAGCGACUUUGUCACUAGAUUUAGCAACUUUUCAGACCCCUUAGCAAAGUUAUUUUCAACGUUUUCCCUUCCUGCGAUAUUGCGGUAUUUAUCUUUCGGAUCAUGGUCGAUUUUUCUAAAGUUUCGCAUAUUCUGUGUCCACUUCUGACCAAUCAGAUUGCAUGUUGUUGCAAUGUCUGAUUCACCGGUAAAUCCAACAUGGCUGACCAGCUGAUUGUGUACGUGUCGGAGAACAGAGUGCUUUUUGAUAAAAAAACACAAACAUUACAAAGAUAAUGACCUGAAGGAUAGUUUGUGUGCUUUAACAGUUUGCUAAACGUCUUUGUUUUAACUUUCAUCUGUGCUAAGUAACUUUAGCUCGUAAGCUAACCUGUUCAGAUACAACAUACCAUAUGUAUUUUCACUGUCUCAAACUCAAUCGUGUUGCUGUCACAGCACCAUUAGGUCUGGGUUGUUACCUUACGUUUAUGGAUUAUAGUUUAAUGUACUUAUCUGGUACUGGCCCUGACUCAGUACAUGCAAUCAUGACAGACAGACAUCUCAACACUAGCGUCUAAUCAGAAGUGAAAAACAGUCAGUCUGCUGUUGUGUCAGUCUUCUCGCUUCCACCCACGACGCGUCUUUUUUUCCCUCGGAAAGUCGCAAAAUCGCAUCGGGCUUGAUGUGUAUAGUCAGGUGCAUCAAAAUUCCCCUCCGAAUAUUUCAUAAUUUAACGUCAGAUAUUUGCGUUGGUCCUGGUGUGUAAGGACCUCUAUUGUUUUUCAAUGGGUAGCCGGUGUGCAUCAAAAGCAUGGACACAGACACAUACAUACACCCUGGCGGGAUCGCUUCUAUCGUCCUCUUGCAACUUCUAGUGACUUUUACGACAGCUACUAGCGACUUUAUUCAAUGAAGAGUUGGCAACACUGGUCAGAAAAUCUAUGUUGGCAUUUGUGUUUGGAGGCGAUCUAAUUGUAUAUCUUUUCUUGUGGAAUAUUAAGGGAUAGGGAGCUGCUUACCCCUUGUUUUGUUUUAACUGCUGUUUUGAGCUAAUUUCAGAAAAUGACAUUUUUCCACUCCAGUUCAGAGUCACCUUUUCUUGUGUUUAUUUGGCUGUUGUAACUGUUGUUUAGAAGUACAAGAGUUCACAGUGUCUGCACACAACUUUAAACACACAUACACAAUAAGAAGUGGUAUUUACUGCAUGGUAUGAACUCGCAGUAACAGCCAUUGUGACGCACCAGCUCCCACACACACGGUAUGAACACACACGUAGACACACACACACACACAGCGCCCCGGGCUGAUGGAGUGCUUGGGAGUAUCAGUUUAGUGUUUACUUGUGUUUUCUGGUCAGGGGUGAGAGGAUCAGAGACACCCUCAGGGGGGGUGAGGCGCUGCGUGAGUUAAUGUUUCACAUCCAGCAGAUUAAGAGCGAGCCGGCAGACGUCAGGUCCGAGCAGACGCCGGGGAGUGAAGGGUAAUGGAUCAGAGAAAUUACUUCACGCUCAGUUCGGGAAGGAGACACAUUCGACCACAAAAGCCUCUCAGAGAGCUUCAUUAGAGGGAGGCUGCUCCGCCAUCACUGUCUGCAGAGGCAUUAUGGGGGAGGCCUGGGUCCAUCCUGCGGCUGAUAAAAUCCAUCAACACACACUUUCACUUCUGUCUGCUUUACUGGAAACACUUUGUUCGUUCUCAGGCUGCAGGGGAUUAAAUCUGGAGACCAGUGAUGCACAGAAAUAAAGUUUGGAGGGAUUAAAGUUAAAGACUGAGAUCCUGCUGUAGGAGUUACAUUGAUUUACAAUAAAAGAACAUUAAAGCUUGGCGCAUAACUUAAAACAGGUGCAUAAGAUUUAAUUUGUCUGAUAGUUUGGAUGUGGGUCAUUUGAAAAUACUGGAGCCAAUUACAACACAACAAGCAAAGAUGUGAAUGUAGCCAUAGUAUAUGAAUGACAGAUGAUACUAUCACACAUUUCUAGUCUUCGCUAAUAAAAGGAGAAUAGUCCAAAAAUGAAAAAGAUGGUAAAAGUCAAAAUAAACCUCUAAAGAGCUGAGAAAUACUCUAUUCAUGUUUCAUAUUUUUAUAAAUGGUUUUAAUUUGCAGUUUUUGAUGAUAAAACCUUUUUGAUUUCUGUGCCUCUUUAAACCUUUUUUUUACUUGUUUAUCUUUCAGUUUAGCAACACAGCAGUACCUAAAGAUAUCACGAUGUUGAAGUUCAAGCAGAAAGAAGAAACUGAAUCAUUGUGAGCAAAACCAGCAUCAGGUCUCUCUCUCUCUCUCUUAGCUGAUUUAAUUUCAUUUGUAUAAACAACAUUUUUGUCACUUGGAAUCAGAGCUGGAGCUUGUCAACAGGCAAGGCAGGUAAUUGCUUGGGGCCUCAGGCCACUAGGGGUUCCGAGGGGUUGAUGAACCUUACUCCACAAAAAUAUCCUGAAAUAUUGCAACCUGGUUAAACAACUAAUGGUCAAAUUGCAAUGACAUCUUCAAUGGAUACCCCCCUAAAGGGACCCCAUGUAAUCCCUAUUGCAAUAUCAACUUUGGAGCAUAUAACAAACUGAAGUUAAGGUCCUUACACACCGGGACCGUUUUUGUCGUGCAAUUAUUUCAGAAAUCAAUAUUUUUUUUCAAACCCGUAUCCUGUCAAUACAAGUGUUCACAUCAGUGACGUUUUUACCGUUCUGCGAUAUUGCGGCAUUUAUUUUUUCGGAUCAUGGUCAAUUUUUCCAAAGUUUUACUGUGCGUCCACUUCUGACCAAUCAGAUUGCGUGUUUUGUCCGACGUGAGAUUCACCGGUAUAUCCAAGAUGGCCGACCACGACCAGCUGAUAAUUUAUGAUCGUUUACACAAACUUUACAACAAUAACGACCUGAUGGACAACUUGUGGGGAGUCAUAGCGUCAGAUUUCUGAUAUGGCGAUGUUUUGUGUGCUUUAACAGUUUGCUAAAUGUCUUUGUUUUAACUUUCCUCUGUGCUAACGUAAGCUAACAGUUGUUACCAUAGUUUAAUGUGCUUAUCUGGUACUGGCCCCGACUCAGUACAUGCUAUCAUGACAGACAGACAUCUCAACACUAGUGUCUAGUCCUCCGCCUCUUCAAACUUGGAGCUAAUUGUUUCAGCAGAACUUCAAAUUGUCCAACAGACAUCCAAAAAUAGGUUCUGAAGCGACCGUGGUACAGUUUAAGCUCCUGAACUAAACAGUGAAACUCACCAAGUUCUCUUCUUGUUUGUAAUAUUGGAUGCACCCAUGUGCUACGUUUAUUUUUCUUUUGAGAAAGCAGAAGUAGUACCAAUUCGCCAUCACUUGAAGUUGAAGUAGACUCAAUUUUUGUCUUCCCGUUUCCACCCAGGAUGCUGUAGGUUGUUAAGGGAAGGUCCCGCCCUCCUUCGCCUCUGAUUGGCUAUAAGUGCUGACCGUUUGGCUUGAGCGCAUGAUGAGGUUUCCAGCUUUUCUAGCCAAUCAGAGGCGAAGAAGGCGGGACUUUCCCCAGGAAAAGUCUUCCCCGGGAUGCAUCUUUUCCCCCCCAGAAAGACACAAAAUCGCAUCAGUAUGUAUUGUGGUACAAACAUAUCAGAGCUAUAUUUAGUGCAAAUUUUUCAAGUUACAUAGUUAAUGUUAUUGUUACGUUAGUUAUUGGUUCAAGCAGUCUGAGAUUUUGUGAGUUUUUUUGUGUGUCUCACAGUUAUUGUUUGAGUUCCAAACUUAUAUUUGAACCAACAGUAUCGAAGCAUAAAUAACGCAGCUCACUGAAUGAGGCAGCAGUCUCUAGUUUCUGUCGGCUUAAAUUCCUGUUUACAUCAAUGUAUUCUGGAAGAAGAGGCUGAACCUUAACUUUCAAGAAACAUUCCACACAUUUGACCCAGUUUACCUGCUGCAGGGUGAAUUUAUCUGCUGAGGCAUCUCCUCAACUUUGAAUGUCUGUUAAUCUUGAUCUUCAAAUAAGUGAAGCUUAAAUUAUUGAGUUUUUUGGUGCACUGUUAAGUAACUAGAACUAUAUAAGUGAAGCCCACAGAGGCUAAAUUUGAUUAUUUUGUGAGCAAGCAAAGAGAAGUCAGGUUGUAUUUAGCUUCUAAUUUCUGGUCACUGUCUCCCUGUGAGCCGUGUGUGACCGAGCUGAAGGGACUCCUCUUCCUUUCAAGAUCAAGAUAUCAAUCAUUCAGUGAUGUGAGAGCGCCACAGGCUGCAGACACUCUGAGGAUUCAGACGCUUCUUCUUUCAGGACAUCGGGUCAUUAGAGAGAGAAAGAGAGACAGAGCAUAGGGGGAGAGAGGGAGGUAGAAAAAAGCCACACUGAAAGAGGAGGGGAGUCUAUUGUCGAGGAUCUGACAAUGGACCCAAAAUACCAGCAUCACCCCGGGGCUCCACAUGAGCAGAAGAUCAGAAAGGCUCAAUAAAUACAGCAGAGAGGUUAGAGGAAGAUGUUCUGGUGGUCAAACUCAGUGUUAUAGUGAAAUCUCUAUGUUUGGUUUAAGAACAGUUUUCUCUACACUACCACAAAAGAGAACAGAGGGGAAAUUAACAAGUAAAGACUGUACAAAUCAGAGUUUUCUGUACUAACAAGGUACAAAGAUUUCUGUUUCCAUAUCACACUACAGAAGACUUCAGGAUUUAAGGUCGUUACACAACGAUGCAAAUAUAUGACGCAAAAUUACGAAAUAUUCGGAGGGGAAUUUUGACGCGCCUGACUAAACACAUCAAGCCCGAUGCGAUUUUGCGACUUUCUGGGGGGUGGAAGCAAGAAGACUGACACAACAGCAGACUGAGUGUUUUUCAGUUCUGAUUAGACUCUAGUGUUGAGAUGUCUGUCUGUCAUGAUAGCAUGUACUGAGUCAGGGCCGGUACCAGAUAAGCACAUUAAACUAUAAUCCAUAAACGUAAGGUAACAACUGAGACCUAAUGGUGCUGUGACAGCAACACGAUUGAGUUUGAGACAGUGAAAAUACAUAUGGUAUGUUGUAUCUGAACAGGUUAGCUUACAGGCUAAAGUUACUUAGCACAGAUUAAGGUUAAAA